rnacentral:lncRNA from 1 species
UAGCCUCCUCAGCAUCUUCAUGUCUGAGGUUCUUGGGUGUCACUAUUGUUUAUUGUGAUAUUGAGCUGAACAAUGAUCUUACGAUCUUAAAACAAUUGGUAUAUGCCGAAAAUUUGAACCUUCGGGAAUUGAAAAUAUAUGGGUGUAUCCCAGAGGUGGGUCUAAUAUUUCCGCUGCAUGUAUCCACAAUUUGUAUUACAACUUUAAAUUUAGGGGAAUCAUACCUGGAAGAAGACCCAAUGCCAAUAUUAGAAAUGCUUCCAGUGUUGAGUGUUCUCCGAAUGUAUAGGGAUACAUAUGUGGGGAAGGAGAUGGUGUGCUCCGCAACCGGUUUUCCUAAACUCACCGUUCUUAUUUUGCACGAGUUCACAAACCUUGAAAAAUGGAGGGUGGAGGAAGGAAGCAUGCCCAUCCUUUCAUACUUGAUUAUUGCAAGUUGUAACAAGUUGGAGGAGUUUCCCGGAGGCCUUGUGUUCCUCAAGUCCCUUCAAAUAAGUCAAAUGCCUCAAGAUUUCAAUGAUAGGCUUAAAAGGCAAGAUGGUGAAGAAGGACCCGACUUUCACAAAAUUUCUCAUGUCGGUAGACUCAUUAUUGAUGAUCAGGGCUACAUUUGAAUGUUCUUGUAAGUUAGGUAUAAAGUAUUGUUUUGGUCGUGAAGAACAUAUUGCUUGAGAACUUAUUUGAUCAUUUGCUUCUCAUUAAUAUUAUAUGAUCAAUUUAUUUUCCAUUAAAAUUAAUACUUUUACUGUUGAAAAUAAUUUUAAUUAAUAAGCAAAAAUUUAAAACAUAAAUUACAAAAUUAUACUUUAUAAAAAUAUUAAAGGGUUUGCCGAUUCACGUCCCCAACAUAUAUUAUUCAGGACGAUGGAGAGCGUAAUAAUUAAAUAAGUUCAAUAACCGGAUUUUGGACUAUAUAUUUUAGUAUCUUAAUGUUCGGUUAUUUUAUGAUGGUUAUUAAUAUGAGUAAAGAUUUGUAUAAAUUUAUAUUUAAAAAUUUAUGCAACAUGAAGUUAAAUAAAUUAUUUUAAUAAAUAAAUAUAGAUCAUCAUCAUCAUCAUGAUUAUUUUUUAUAUUUUUGGAACAAUUAUAAUAGUAGGAUUCUUAAACAAUUAUUUAAAAAUUAAACAUUUUAUGUUGAACUCUUAUCCUUUAAAAUAAAAAAAAAAUCACUACUUUUUUCAACGAAAAAAAUGUAUGUGUUGAAUUACAUUUGGUUGCAAACUCAAUCUUUUUUCUUAAGAAUUUUACAAAGAAAGUAAAUCACCUAAAAGGACUUUAAACAUAUGACAAAAAAGACUCUAAACAUGUGUUUAGAGUUUUAUUCAGAACAAACUAUUAGUUUCCAAUUACGAUCAUCAGUGAUCAGACUACUUAAAAGAACUACUCUUUUCAGACUAUUGCAAUUACGAUCAUCAUACUACUGAAAGAACUGCUACUUUAGAAAAAGGCUCAGCAUCCUCAGGUUCAUGUUCACACCAUAUUCUUUUGUGAACUAGGGGCACAAUUUUCAUCAUUUUCUUUGUCUUACAAGCCAUGCAAUCUAGUCAUUUGAAAUUGAUCACUUUAAAGACCAUCCUUGUGUCUCGUUCAUUUUUCUUGAGGUGAACAAGAGUUAAACAAAUUCGGAAGCGAUAAAUAUAACAGUCUUCUAACAGAAAAUCGAUUUAUGAUAAUUUUAGACUGCAGAAAAAGAGAGGAAAUAAUAUUUCACUGACCAAUAUGUAAUAUGUUUUCAUGCGAUUGCGGCCAACACAACAGAGCACAUUGUUUCCCACAUGUUGCAACAAAACACCAAAACUAGGAGACUUCUAACUCUUGACUCCACCCAUUGUUCAAACUUUUUCUUUGUGAUCUUCUCUUUUUUAUAAUAAAACACUUUUGGUUUUUUUUUUUUCUUUAUGGUUAAACUACAAUAUAUACAGCGUUUAGGACUGGGAAACUGCUUUCUUCAAGACGCUGAAGGCAACGAGCAUAAGCAGUGAUAUCAUAAUCUUCUUUGAAGCAAGAAUCCGCAAGUUCACCUUCAUGCCAUGGUCUCUCAUGAGCUUCACCGUUGCCCUAAUUACUGAAAUAAGCCAGAAUACAACGGACAAGAACACCAAUUUCAUUGUGUCUGCAGGUCCAUUCACAGUUCUUGUGCCUCCCGACACCUCGACAUAGGACCAAGCAGCGCCUUGAUUAUCGGUGGUUCCACUAUGAUUGAGGCCAAGUUUCUUGUUCAACCAACAUGAUAAAGUCACAAGCAGCUUUGCAAGCCAUGCAAUCUCAUCAUUGGAGACUGGUCGCUUCAACCAGUCACCCCUGUAUUUCAUACCGGUUUGCUUCUUGUUGCGUAUCACUCUAGGACUAAAUAUCUCAUCACGUGGAUGCUGAUUUUCUCUCGUCUCGGGGACUGCUUGUGUGUUCCUUGGAGUAGAGUUACCAAAUAAGCACCCCAUCUGGGCUUUGAUAGAAUCUAAACAAGCCAUAUUCUGAGCAUGAUUAUCUCCCAAGACAGUCUGCAGCUCCGACUCAGCACGCAACACAAAGAGCUGCAAUAACAAUGUGACUAGUGAGUGAGACUUGACAUUUAGAAUGACACCAUUUCAGUUCCUAGAAUUUAUAUGGUUCAUACAGAUAUAUUUAAGUACACUAUAUGCUAAAAGAAGAGAGGGGGAAAUAAACCUGUAGCAGCUGUUGUCUGCCAUCAUCACCAUCACUAAAUAACUGCAAAUCCUUGUUCCAAUUCUCGUGCAAGAAAGAGCCAUCAGCAUCAUUUUCACACAAUCCAUCCUCCCAGUCCUUGUAACGCAAAAAAGAACAAGGGAUUUACAUAUAAACAUCUGAAAAAGAGUUGAAGAAUGCGCUCGCGCACACAAAAGAGAUGCAGUUAGGUCUUCAUACCUGCAGUUGUUCUCUGAUUGAUGGAACAAAUCUGUACAAGUUGUUGUGUAUGGGUUUGGAUGACCCAGAAGGCUUAGAAUGGAAGACAGUGUCCACAUUGUUUAUAAGAUUCAUCAGCUCACUGGACGAUGUCAAUAUGCUUAAGACCUGCACAAGAAAUACAAGAAACAUAUACAAAAUAAGUAAACGGAAACUAUAACGAAUUGAUCCUGGGAUAAAAAUAUAUACUAAUUAUAAAAGAAAAUUUCCCCACUGUUACCCUGACUCUUCAUUUUGCCUCAAGUACCGGUGUCGGACACUCAACACUUGAACAUCGGACACUCAACACUUGAACAUAGGUACAGACACUACAGAACUUAUUUUAGGCCAAAAACAUGUAAAUUUUCAGAAUACUACCGAGACACACUCGGACAGGUAACCAUGUUGGACACUUUUAGCUGACUCCAGGUAAUAUAGAUUCUUCAUAUGUAAGCUUACCAGAAGUAUCCCAUCAGCGCCCAUAAAUGAAAAGAAGCCGAAAGAAACUAUAAAAGAGGAAUAUAGCAGAUUAUUAUUAAUUAGUAGCCUUGCAUAAGUUUCCUCUAUAAUUCAACACAAGUAGCUUUCUGUUGUCGUUCAUUCAGAUGUAUCCAUCGAGCAUUUGCCAGGACUGCUGAAGCAAUUUAGGCUUUUAUCUAUAGUCUAUGCAUGCAAAACUAUGGUUGACCGUCACUAACUACAGACCAAUUUAAUUUAUUUUUUAUUUAUCCUCUUAUGUUCUGCUUAUCCAGGUAAAAAAAAAAAAUUGAUUUGGUCAAAAAUAUACACAACACAACUAUAUAUGGAGAAACUUGUGAGCAAAUCCUAAAAAAUGCAUAACCAAGGAACUAUAGAACAAAUAGUUGAUCAACACAAAGCAUUGCCAGGAACUAGAAUAUCCACUUGAAGAAGACUGUACUUCCUUUUUAGUACCAUUGCUCGACACCUCAGCAUUUACAUCUAGACCAGAAAAAUCUUCAAAGCUAAUGUUCCAAGGUUCUAUAUAAUUAAUCCCAAGCCAAAACACCUGAGAUCUGGGAAGUACUGGACGCAAAUACGGGGAGUCCGGAAAAUGAGUAUUUGGCAUGGGAAUACCAAAAAUAUAAAAAAUAUUUAAAUUAUACUCCAUUUCACACUCUUAUUUCUUAGCACUCACACACAUUUUAAAGGUGCGUAUCCUUUAUUCUAUACAUCCACCACAAUAUGCAGUUAACCAAUAAGAAAAUAAAUGGAUCUGGAUAUGGAUUUGACUAAAUUCGAUACAAAUCCGACCCGCUGACAAGCCUGCUUGGAAACACAUCAAAUUAUUUAUAUUCUAAUCAUAAACUCAUAAAAGGAGAAAAACAAAAAAAAAAUAUGAUUUAAAAAGGUCAGAGUCAAAGCAGUGGACUGUAUACAGACAUAUGUGCAACACAUAUAUACAGAUCUGGACCAGAGAAGAGAUAACAAAACAAGCAGCAGAUUGAACUCAGAGAAGAGAUAACAGUCGGAAAGCGAAGUCACAAGGAGAGCUAACUGGGUAUGUAUCUUUGUAAUAUAAGCUCUGUUUUUUGUUUUAAUGAAUUAUUGCAGAAGAUUGAUGACUUAUUGUUGAACUUUGCAACCAAAGAACCAUGAAAAUGAUUCAAGACUGUCUCAGAGUCAUAUAGAAUAGUUUAAUUAAUAUACAGCAAAGGGGAAUAGUGAUCAGCAAUAUAGAAUCUAAUGUGCUCAUGACACCAAUACAUUUUUACUACUUUAUUACUCUCUCGAUCCCAUUUUUAACUACUUGUUUGGUUCCUGGAGAAGAAUAGGUUAAACAAAUUUAUAUGGCUGAAGCAAUUGUGUCGAUUGUUGUGGGAAGGCUCGCUGAUUUGUUGGUUGAAAAACCCCAAACCCUCUAUGAAGUGAGAGAUGAAAUUCAACUAGCGAUCACCGAGCUCACGCGGAUAAAGACAUUCUUACCAGAUGCUGACGCAAGGAUUGAUGUAGAAAGAAUCCGGAUUUUGCUCCGGGAUGUACGAGAGCUUGCCUAUGAUGUCGAAACUUUUGUUAUUAAAGCCUCAUCCACUAAAAAACCAUUUCAGCGGAUGAACAGAGUCAAGUUUUCAAGAAAGAUGAAAAAUAUACAGAAAAAGAUGUCCCUCCUCUUCAAUUUAUUUUCUGAUUAUAAUAUCAUACCAACUUCUGAAUCAACUUCCUCAAACAGAGAAUCGGGAAAACUUAAGCGAUUUCACUCUUUCACUACUCCUGAACCAGAGUUAUUUGUUGGAUUUCAUGAAGACGUUGAAUGCUUGGUGCGACAUUUGGUGGAUGAAACUCAUGAUUCUUACCCACUUAUAUCUAUUUGUGGAAUGGGGGGCCUGGGAAAGACUACUCUCGCUCAAAAGAUAUACAAUCACUCUGCCAUCAAGACUCACUUUGCUGGUUUAGCAUGGGUAUCAAUUUCGCGAAAGUGGCAGACAGAUCGUGUGUUGCAGAGAAUUCUCAUAUGUCUCGUACCUGAGAACAAAGAAUCUAUCCUUAAUAUGGACAGCGACAAGCUAGUGGAGUAUAUGCUACAUAUUAAGGAACGGAAAAAAUGCUUGAUAGUCCUCGAUGACAUAUGGUCAACUGAUGUUUGGGAUGCAUUAAAAGCUGCAUUCCCAGCCGGGAAGUCCAUAAGCAAAUUAAUGCUUACAAGCCGUAAUGUUGAGGUUGCUAAGCAUGUAAAUUUGAACGGAUUCAUUCACAAGCCAGAAUGUCUAAAUCCAGAACAAAGUUGGGAGCUACUCAAGUUGAAAGCACUUCACACAGGAAAUUGUCUAGGUACAUAAUUUUACUUGCGUUAAUUAUGGUUCAUAUACUUUUUCCGCACCAUAUCUUUGGUACGACGGCCUUAAUGAGCCAUAUUUUCUGUUACUUGAGUUGGAUAAGUUUGGUUAGAGAUCUGCCCAGACAACCUUAAAUAACAUUGUUCUGUUCAAGUAACAUUUUUUUCGUGUUUGUUUGAAUUCGUUAGUCGUUUACAAACGUAUGUAUUAGAAUUGUAAAUGAAUGUAACAGUUCAUUAAGUGCCCUCUUGAGGUUGAGUUAACGAACUCGAAUUCAAACCACAUAUUUUGUUUGAGAACCUUAACAAACUUUAUGGGGUUCAGUAAUUUUUGCUGGUGCUGACUCGAAGUUUAUCCGAGUUAAGUUCAUUUAGGGCUACAACUUGAACGUGUCUUUUAAAUAUUUGCACAAGUCAAAUGACUAAAUUAGAAAUUAUCUUGGCUUGCGUUUGUGUGUCUAUAUAUACACACAUAUGAUUCCCGUUUCUUGUGUGUUGCAGACAUUUACNUUUGGGAUGCAUUAAAAGCUGCAUUCCCAGCCGGGAAGUCCAUAAGCAAAUUAAUGCUUACAAGCCGUAAUGUUGAGGUUGCUAAGCAUGUAAAUUUGAACGGAUUCAUUCACAAGCCAGAAUGUCUAAAUCCAGAACAAAGUUGGGAGCUACUCAAGUUGAAAGCACUUCACACAGGAAAUUGUCUAGGUACAUAAUUUUACUUGCGUUAAUUAUGGUUCAUAUACUUUUUCCGCACCAUAUCUUUGGUACGACGGCCUUAAUGAGCCAUAUUUUCUGUUACUUGAGUUGGAUAAGUUUGGUUAGAGAUCUGCCCAGACAACCUUAAAUAACAUUGUUCUGUUCAAGUAACAUUUUUUUCGUGUUUGUUUGAAUUCGUUAGUCGUUUACAAACGUAUGUAUUAGAAUUGUAAAUGAAUGUAACAGUUCAUUAAGUGCCCUCUUGAGGUUGAGUUAACGAACUCGAAUUCAAACCACAUAUUUUGUUUGAGAACCUUAACAAACUUUAUGGGGUUCAGUAAUUUUUGCUGGUGCUGACUCGAAGUUUAUCCGAGUUAAGUUCAUUUAGGGCUACAACUUGAACGUGUCUUUUAAAUAUUUGCACAAGUCAAAUGACUAAAUUAGAAAUUAUCUUGGCUUGCGUUUGUGUGUCUAUAUAUACACACAUAUGAUUCCCGUUUCUUGUGUGUUGCAGACAUUUACAAAGUGGACAUGAGUUUCAUCUCAAAUCUACUUCAGAUUCAAGGCCAGCUUACACUCGACUCGUGAUUCAUUUGGAUGAGGAAUAUUCUAGCAAAAAAGCUAAUUACUACUUCUCUAAGAAAGGCAAUGAAAAAUGCUAUCGAUCAGUGUUAUUCUUUGGUGUCUUCGGUCCGAGAAGUUUGCCACGGGCAUUGGGGUCACAUGUUGCCAAUUUUAGGUUCCUAAAAGUGUUUUCUGUAGAAAAAUACACAAAUUUUUCUGGUACGUUUUCUCAUAUUAACUUUGGAAGAGCAUUAGGGUCCCUUGUUUACCUGCGAUAUCUUAGUGUAAGGGGCAGUAAUUUGUUGGUUUUUCCAUCUAUGCAAAAGUUGGUGUUGUUACAAACUCUUAACUUAGAUACAUUCGAGGGUAUGUAUGUUUUACCAUGGCUGUCAAGAGAUGUUCUGGUGAAACUGGAUUGUUUGCGGCAUCUGUAUUUGCCGAUAUUUAAAGUUAACGUUUUGGGAAGGAAAUCAAAAUUUCGGUUUAAUGGGUUGAGCAAGUUAGAGACCCUGGAGAACUUUGACAGUAGUUGGUGUGAGAUUAAGGAUCUACGUGAACUAAUCAAUCUUCGAAAACUAACGGUAACAGUGAGAGGUAGCUGUAAUAUUCUGGAAGAAAUGAUGAAAAACUUGGUUGAAAUAGCCUCCUCACCAUCUUUUCGUUUGAGGUACUUGGGUGUUUGUAUUCUUAAUUGUCAUCUUCGGCUGAAAAACGGUCUUACUAUCUUGAAACAAUUGGUGUGUGCUGAAAAAUUGAACCUUCGACAUUUGAGAAUACAUGGGCGUAUCCCAGAGGUGGGUCUAAUAUUUCCAGUGCGAUAUGUUGGGGAUAAUUAUGCACAUGUAUCUACAAUUCAUAUUACAAGUUUAAAUUUAUCGAGAUCAUACUUGGAAGAGGACCCGAUGCCAAUACUUGAAAUGCUUCCAAUGUUGGGUGAUCUCUUUAUGUUUACAGAUACAUUUGUGGGGAGGAAGAUGAUGUGCUCCGCAACCGGUUUUCCUAAACUCACCAAUCUUUGUUUGUACGAGUUCCCCAAUCUUGAAAAAUGGAGGGUGGAGAAAGGAAGUAUGCCUAUCCUUUCAUACUUGCUUAUUGAAAGUUGUAACAAGUUGAAGGAGCUUCCAAAAGGCCUGGUGUUCCUCAACUCCCUUCAAGUAUUAAGAAUAUACCAAAUGCCUCAAGAUUUCAAUGAUAGGCUUACAAGGAAUGAUGGUGACGAGGGACCUGACUUUCACAAAAUAUCUCAUGUCCGUAGAGUCCGUAUAGAUAAUGAUCAGGAAUACAACUGAACGUUCUUGUAAGUUCCUAAGUUGUAACGUUUUUGUUUUGGUCUUGAAGAACAGAUUGUUUGAGAAACAAAUCAGAGAUAUUAUUAUAAUAUAUAGUAAUAAUUUUUUGAUGAGAAAAAAGGAGGUGAGAUCAACCUUAUUUAAACUGAUUGCUUCCUAAGGUUAAAUGACACACAUGCAUAUGUUCGUUAGGUAUCGUGUAAUCUCUCUAUUUUUAUUAAAAAAUACCUCUAUUUACCUGAUAAUAUCUUCACUCCAUCUACAUACAUCAAAAGUAAUUCAUUUUUUUUGUCUUAUGUUGAUUCUGGGCCUUGGAAUGGAAUAGCAAACACACGCAGAUGAGUAUAAUUCAAAGUAAUCUUCUUGUGAAUGUAGUUUAUAAUUCACUUUAAUUUUUUUAGGAAAUGAGUAAUAAUAUUGAAGAUUGUCAAAUUCUGGAAGAUUCGCCAUCUGAGGAUUCAUUGUCUACCAAUUUACAGGAUACCUACACUGCUGAAUUGGAUAUAGAGGAUGGUACACGAGCAUUUUUCAUGUCUCAUGAAGAUAUGUUAUUUCAAUCACAAGAAGAAGCAUAUAAUUUUUAUAACAGCUUUGGUUUGACUAAAGGAUGUGCAAUAGGUAAAUUUUAUAUAUACAAGUCUUAUGGUGAGAAGAACUCUUGUAUCUGAUAGAGAAGGUUUCAAAAACAAAAUAAGAGGAUGAUAGUGAGGACAACAUAAAACGACGUCGAGAAACUAGAUGUGGUUGCAAAGGUUCAAUGGAAAUUAUCCUAAAGAAAUUAGGGACAUGGAAAAUGAAAAAAAAAUUAAUAAUAUCCAUUCACAUGACUUGCUCAAGAGUCCGAAUAAGAAAAGAAAAUUAAGGUCUCAGAACAAGUUUCAUUAAGAUGCAACUUAUAAGAAAUUGAUUGAUAAAUUUAGUAGUUGCGGAGUUGGGCCAACAAAAAUAUCAGGCAUUAUAAAUACUGCUAGUGGUAGUGUUACAGAUGUCAUGACACCCCAACAAUAUUCUGAAGAGUUAAGAAUUAAGAGAAGAUAUUCAGAAUCAAGAGAAAAAAUAACAUCGGCAAGGAGUGUAUAAUUAAUGUAGUGCGGAUUAUUUUUAGAGAGGAAAGCAAGAUAUUCUGAAUUUUAGUAUGCCAUUCAACUUGACGAACAUGGCUGUAGAAGUAUUUUCUGGUGUUAUGCCAGAGCGAGAAAAAUUUUAUAAGAAAAUUUCUGAUGUGAUAGUAUUAAUCGGGACUAAUACAAUUUAUUGUAGGAAUGGAGUCUUCUCAAAGAAGUGAAAGUACGAAUUCGUUUUUUGAUGGUUAUGUCAAUAGCAAUACUCCUUUGUCUAUAUAUAUUGACCCGUAUGAAAAAGAAAUUACUGGCCAUCGUGAUAGAAAAGAGAUAGCAGAAUUGGAUAUCAAUGACAACUAACCCUGAUUUGACAAAUAUGCAUAGCUUGGAAGCUCAUGCUGGAAAAGUUUAUUCUCGAAAUAUAUUCAAAUUAUUUUAGAACGAAUUUAUGCAGAUUUUGCAUUGCCAGCAUAACAAAAAAGUAGCUGCAGGUGUCUAGAUGGUGUAAGAUGUAACUUUCAACGAUCAUAAUAGGCCACACAUCUGUUAAGGUUUGCAAGUGUUCGUGCUAAAUUUGAGACAUGGGGUAUUGUAUGCAAACACAUAUUGUAUAUAAUGAAAUAAAAAUUAAGAUUAAAGAUCAUACCUGUUGAAUAUAUUUUGUCAAGAUGGACCUUAAAAGGCAUACAAUUAGUUCAACGGUCAGUGUGAACAAUGAUGGUGCACCUGGUUUGAAUAUAGAUUGUAACACGCGUAGGUAACAUCUCUUGAAUCUUUGACAUUGUGAGGUGAUUUUAACAAACUUCAUGGAAAGAUAAUUACUCGUAGAGAUCUCUAUGAAGUAAUGGAAAGGGAAAUAAAGAUGUGGUGGAAAGACAUUGACAUGAUUGAAAGUAAAUAAGUGCCACCACCGCCAGUGUCCGUAAAUGUAGAUGAUUUUUCAGAGGCAAAUAUAUAUAGCGGAUAAAAGUCCUUAAGAGAUCAUGUUAAAGUUCAUCAUCAGCGAUCCUACCAGAUGCAAGACGAAACGUAGACCGCGUAAUUCAUCCAAAAUCCCUACCGGAAUGUAGCAAUUUCAAGAUUUGAAGUAGAAAAGAGUUUGUGGAAAUUGUGGUCGGAAUGGGCACUACAAGAGUACAUGUAAAAGUAGUAAAUAAUGAAUUUUUUUAAAAAUACUAUGUUGCCUUGUUUUUAAACUCAGCAGUUCUUCUCAACUUUUAUUUGGUUUCAGAUUUUUAUUAAAAUUAAGUUCAAAAAAAAUUCCAACUAAUUUAGUCUAUAUUAAUUUUAUGAAAUUCCUGUCAAUUUUUACCAGUAUGUUAGCCAAUAUAUUCCUGGUUAUAAGUGGCAGCGGUGCUUAUAGUCCAGGCACAUUUAUUGUUGCACGAUUCCUGAAUGCUAAUAUGGAGUUAGCCAGAAAUUUUCUUGUUUUAUGCAAAUCCAGAAAUUUGCUCUCUACUUUUAUUCAGUUUAUGAAAUGGACAGUUUAUAAGCUCCGAAAGGUAUAUCUAGUGAUUUUGUCCGCAAGUUCUCGACCACUUGCAGACCGUCAAUAUCAAUACCAGGCCACAUUUAUUAUUUUCACACUAACUUUUAAGUUGUGGAGGGUCGAGAAAUCAAAAUGCAUGUAAUCAGGAUAAGCCAACAAGGAUGCUGUCAACUGUUUUGUUGCAGGACCAGACUCACAACUAUUUGUCGGUGUUAACUGGCCACACUGGACCAGUCAAGUGUAUUCCAUUUCAAGGGUCUUCUGCUCACCAGUGUAGUGUUUAUGAUAUGAAAGUAGACCUGCAAGCAUAAAAGCAAGCAAAUGCCAGCCUUCCUAGCAAAUAAUAACUUACAUGUUUGCAAUGAGUGUUUCCUAACUUUGUGACUGCAUAGUGACUAAGAAAAAAUCAAAGAAAUCAGUUGAUUACAGGUUCUGUUUCACUGGAGUCCAUAAUUAAGCAUAGCUGGGUAAUCUGAGGCAUUAAUCACCAUCCCCUGAAAUGCAUUUUCUUACUGCUCUGUUGGUAAUUUUUAUUUUAGUAGCAUUGAAUACUCGGAUUCCUGAUGAUUAUGUUUGCUAAUCCUACUACUAUUGUAUAAUGUUAAUGGACCUAGAGCAUCUGCAAUGAGAUUUUUAAACAAGUUCUUAACUCUAAAUUUAUAGAGUAAGUUAAGAAUUAUUGCUCCAAUGAGCUCCAAGAAGCUCUUUAAAAAUUUAAGAGCCUACUAUCUCCUCACUUUUAAAGAGCAUCCAGUAGCUCUUAUCUUUUUAUUUGUGAAUAUAAUAUUAAUUUCCCUCCAAUCUUCUCUCUCUUUUAAUUAAGUUUUCUCUCUCAUUUAUACAAAAUAAAUAUAAAAUAUGAAUAAAGAGCUACGUAUAAACAGUAGCAUUAAAGUAAUCAUGUUUUUCAAUGUAUUAAGUCACUAGGGGCCAUAAUUUAUAUUAUUGUUUAAGAAAUGAUUUAGUAGCACCAUUGGAGAUGUUCUUACUCCUUGUGAACAUAGAAUAAAUUAUUUUUUUUGUGCCAAUUCAGUUACGUAAAGAUUUGUCAGAAACAUUUUGUUACUCCACACUAUAAAUUGUCGUGGACGAAUUUUGACCCAUGACAAGUUUUCUCUUCAUAACAUUAUCACUUGGAAAGGUCCUUCAGCAAAUGACAGGAUGUCACCAAUUGCCAAAUUCAUUGCAAUUGCGAACUAUUAAAUUUUUGUUAAUUCAUGUUGGAGUGCAUGAACUGCUAUAGCUUUAAUAUACAUGAUUUCCCGACCUGAACUGCUAUGAGUGUUUCCUAGAUUUGAUGGUGAUCAAUAUGUUCAUGGACGGGGCAUCGCCAUCUCAGAGGAGAAGCGGAAGAGGAUGCGACAAGAAGAUUUAUGUGUGUAUUGUAUACUCCCUCCGUCUCAUUCAUUUGUAUACAGUUUCUUUUUUUUGACGUCCCACCAAUUGUAUAUAUUCCAAAAAUAGUAAACUUUUAUAAUAUAAAACACCAUUACACCAACUAUUUUCCUCCACUAUCUCCAUUCUAUAACAAUAUAAACACUAUUACACACAUUACUUUCCUCCACUAUCUCAAAUCUAUUAUUAAAUAUAAAUGGGUCCCACCACUAUACCUACUUUUCAUCUAACUUUACUAUUUUUUACAUUUUUUCUUGGUCUUCGUAUCCCAACCAAAUGUAUACAAAUGGUUGGGACGGAGGGAACUAGAGCACACGUGAUAGUCAUCAAUCCAGUCAUUUUAAUUUGUUCCCAAAGCUUGGGUGGUGUGGAUGUUAAUAUCGUCUGAGAACCAUUCAUGUUUGAGCAAAGAGUUGCGUGUUAAUAUCGUCUGAGAACCAUUCGUGUUUGAGCAAAGAGUCAUUUGAGUAAAUAUGAAAGAUCUCCCCUGUAGAUGUAGAAACCAUUGAAGUUAUAUAAAACUCAAGCAAAUCACAAAUGCACACACAGGUGAGACAAGCUCGUUUUAUUAAUCCGAUAAAUUGCUGCUUACAAAAUGAAAGAAACACACUCUGAUAAACUCAAGUUCAGAGUGUUGGAAAAAAAGUCCUACUUAAACAACUAGCUAAGAUGGUAAGGAUAAACAAGAACUGCUGCCUAUGGUUAAUCCACUCCUACAUGCACUCAUGAAAAACAGCUACUGCUAUGGCCUAAUCUUGUGUGCACACUGAUCACAUAGCAACUUAUUUAAAUUAACUAAAUUAAAUAAAAGCAACUGAAGUAUAUCAGAAUUUAGAUCAAACUCCAACAAGCUCCCCUAAUCUAAACUCGAUUGCAGGUUCUUCACACCCAAUAGCUCACACAUUCCCUCAAACUUAGCCCUUGACAAUGCCUUGGUCAAUACAUCAGCUCUCUGUUCAUUUGUGUUGACAUGUACUUUGAGUAUAAUUUCACCACAUUCUACACAUUCCCAUAUAAAGUGGUAGCGAAUAUCUAUGUGUUUACUCCUUCAUGAAACACUGGAUUCUUUGCCAAAUCUAUUGCCCACUUGUUAUCAAUAUACAGCACCACAGGACCAGCCUUUAUAUUCGUCAUCCGUCUGAGAAGUUUAUAAAGCCAUAUGCCUUGACACGCAGCUGCGUUGUUUUUGACAUUGCCAUACCUCUAGUAGACCUCUUGUCAUCCACAUUUCCAACUAGGUCGCUGUUUGAAUAUCCUGAGAGCAAGUAGUUUCCAUCCCGUUUAGAAUAAACCAACCCAUAAUCAAGAGUUCCAUUCACAUAACGUAAAAUUCGUUUUGCUGCAGCUAGGUGCAUGACUAUGGGUCUCUCCAUGAACCUGCUUACAAUGCCAACUGAAUAAGCUAUAUCAGGUCUUGUAAAUACAAGAUACCUGAGUCCUCCAACCAUACUUUUAAGGCUUAAUGACCUUUUAGCCCUCGAAGUAUGAAUGGAAGUUCCGAUGCGGUCUUGAAGUUUAAAAACGUACCUUUCGACCCUCAAAGUAUUUUUGUCGUACCUUUUAGCCCUUUUUAAAAAUACCGGCAUAAAUCAGGGGAUAACUUGAAAAAUAGGCAAGAGCAUAACCCAUCAGCACACCAAGAAUUCCUACUAAUUCUCAUUUUAAGCCGACCCUUGAACAUAUAUAAACCAUGUAGGCAAGUAUUCCUUAAUUAAAGAAUGAAUAAAACUUUCUCCAUCUGUUAUCUAAACUAUUGAAGCCACCAGCGAAGUUGCAACCUUGACAUGUGCCAUUGCUGCAGCAAAAGAAACCUGAUUAUAUCGCAUUCCGUAUUUUACUUUUUUCAGCUUCUCUAGUUAUUCUGUAGGCAAUCCCUUAGUUGCAAUUUCGCUAACAGUAUCCAGCAGCUGGGUAACUAUUUCUUUUGAGAUAAAUAUAACAUUCCCGACAGAUCGGUGGACACGUAGGUAAAGUAUUCCAUUCAUUAUUGUUUUUCCAUGUCAGACAUACCAAUCAUUGCCAUCUGUCAGCAAGGUGGAUGUUGUUGAGGUUAAAUUUUUCAACUUAACGUUUGCUGUUAGAUUUUUCUAAAAAAGUUAAUAGAAUGAUAUAUAAUAUAACAGUAUUUUAGUGGGUUAUAUGAGUCGCCGUGGAGAUCGGGUAGCUACUUGAUAUAUUUUGCUGAGUUCGAUGGGCAAUCUGAUAUAAAACCCAAAACCAAACCAAAUUAAUACUAAAUUUGAUAUUUGAUAUAAUAUAUGAUUUUGGUUCAUAAACCCGUCCAAAUCCAUAUUAAUCAACUAAAAUUGGUCCAAAACAUGAGAGGUCUACUUACUCUCUUGACACAAUUGGUAUAUGAUGAAAAUUUGAACCUUCGGGAAUUGAAAAUAUAUGGGCAUAUCACAGAGGUGGAUCUAAUAUUUCCGCUGCAAUAUGUUGGGGAUAGUAAUGCUCAUGUAUCUAAAGUUCGUAUUACAAGAUUACAUUUAUCGAUUUCAUACCUGGAAGAAGACCCAAUGCCAAUACAAUACUGGAAAUGCUUCCAAUGUUGGGUGUUCUCUGUUUGUUUACCGAUACAUAUAUGGGGAAGGAGAUGGUGUGCUCUGCAACCGGUUUUCCUAAACUCACCCACCUUUUUCUGGACAGCUUACCGAAUCUUGAAAAAUGGAGGGUGGAGAAAGGAAGCAUGCCCAUCCUUUCAUACUUGCGUAUUCAAAGAUGUAACAAGUUGGAGGAGCUUCCAGAAGGCCUGGUGUUCCUCAAGUCUAGGGGUGUGCACGGGUCGGUUCGGCUCGGUUUCUACCUAAAACCGUUACCGAACCGUGUAUUUCGGUUCGGUUCGGUUUUUGGGUAGAAACCGUAACCGAACUGUUUCAAACGGUUUUUUUCGGUUCGGUUAACCGUGGUCGGUUGCGGUUUUUUUCCGGUUUUUAUAUGAUUAGAAACUACUAUACAAAUUUAAUACUUUUAUUAAUUUUAGAAAAAUAUUUAUAUACUUAUUAUAUCAAUUUUUCUUACUAGAAUAUAUAAUUAAUAUAUUGUAGCACAUAUAUAUAUAUAUAUAUAUAGGGAUAUGAUCAAAUAAAAACUUUUUUAAGUUACAAACUUACAAACUUUUUUUUAUUCUCCCAUCGUGUUAAUCCUUAGUUAUAUAAAGUAUCUAUGUUGAAAAUUCUUCAAAAAAAAUCACAAUUUUUAAAAAUAACGCAUAAAUAAAUCGCGUUUUCAACACAUUUAUAACUGGGGUUCAACAUCGGGUGUUGAACACUAAUUAUCAUUGUGUUGAAUAUAUCUAAAAAGAUGUUUAAACUAUACCUCUGGGGUUUGGGUAGGGUCUAGAAACAUAAAUAUUAGUUAUAUAACAUGUUUACCUUAGUUCUUACAUUUAAAAAUUGGUUUACGUACUUCUCCACCACUAUUUUAAUCGAUGUUCAACAAAAUAUGUUAAAAAAAUGUUGAACUCAAGUUAUAUAUGUGUUGAACAAAAAAAGUUUGUAAGUUUGUAAGUUUGUACCAGAACCCUCCCCUAUAUAUAUAUAUAUAUAUAUAUAUAUAUAGAGGAAAGUUAUUUGGAGUACCAUAAUUUAUUGGAGUCUUGGAGUCCACAUCCAGGCCAUCCAUUCUUUUUUGAUCCAAAGGCUGCUAUUAAGACUCAUUUCUUUUAUAAAAAUAUAUAAUUUAAUAUAGCAUUUAUACAUACAGGCGUGCUAUUUCAGAUAACUGCAACUACUUAAAUCAAGCAGUUACAACAAAUUGAGAGUUUUCAGGAGUACAACACGCAAACAUGUCCUGCAACAUCUGUAUCUUACACUUCGCCCACUGAUUAGUAACUUCGUUAAUAUCUUUCUUUGUUUUCACAUUUCUUUGUUUAAACUUUUCUACGAAAUGCUUAUAAUAUCACUCUGUAUGAUGUUUUAACUUGUACAGUAUCAUACAAAGGAUGAUCUUACUAUUCUGUGUAAUUAAGGAGCAUACGAUUUACGAAGGGACACAUGUAUACUCAGCUAUAAUAUUGUAGUAGAGCUUUCCAUUCCUUUUACACUACACCAAUUUUAACUUCAUAAGGAUUUGGAACUAAUUAAUGUUGGGUUGCUUAUAACAUACCAAAAAUCUAAAGCAGGAUUUUACAAAACUUCAUCAAAAAGAAAAUUGCAAACAUAUUUUCACUAAUUAGCUUCAAUGCAAUAACCUCAUUCACAUUGUCACCAACCCAAAAGUUCCGAAAUAAAAACAACCAUUCAAACCGGUCCCAACAUAUAACGUAUCAAAUGUUCUAAAAAACCCAAUUAAGUAGUAGUGAUAACAAGACUGUUUACAUAAAUCUGCUACAUUUCACACAACUUCUUCCUGCUCAACCGCACCAUCUUAUUCAGCACAAAGUACUUUUUUUUGUUCUCCGACCAUGUGAGCAUACGACUUGCAUAUAAAAAUAAACUUUUUCUGGAUGUAUCCCUCAUACGUCCUAAUCUUCUUCACCUUGUCUACCUUGGUUGGUGUCCCUCGAACUACCACAUGACCCCUGCUAGCACUACUUUGAACACCGCGUCUGCGUGUCUGGUACCACAAUAAAUAAAUUAGAAUAUUAUCAGGACUGCUGCACAAAUGCCAUAUACAAAAUUAAUAUUCUUACAUUUAGCACAUUAAUAUUACCUUUGUAAUUUUUUUCACUACAGAACCUACCCUCGAUCGGUCAGGUGUUCUAUCGGGUACAAUUUCUCCCUUAUCACUGGUGCCCUGCAGAUUACAAUUAACAACACAACUACAGUAUAAAUAAACUACAUAAGGCGUCAACAAAAGUACAUUACAAACAACAUAACUAACAACUCGCAAACAACAUUUCGCAUAUGCACAACUAUGGCAACAAGAAGAAAGUUUCUAUGGAAACAAAUAUAUAUUACAAUAGUGUGACAAAUAUAGGUGUAAAGUUUUAUUGAAUUGUGAGGUCCAUGGGGAUUGUUCUUUUAGUGUGAGCUGUGUUUUUUUUAUUUAGGUGAUGUGAAUAUGCAGUACUAUGGCAACUUGCUCUUGUAAAGAGAAGUCGCAAGCUGUAACAUUUUCACCAUACUGGGUUUUUUUUAAUUAUUAAUUAUGUUUUUCUUACAUUUUUGCUGCUUGCAGAAUAUCUUCUUUUUGCUGAUGUAAUAUGUCAAAAAAAUAAUUGCCAACAGGUAAGCAUAAUGUUUGUGACUCUGGACAAAGUUGCUCCGGCAGAUCCCAAAUAUGCUAAUAUAUUCAUUCUAGAGAAGUACACUGCAUUUCAGAAUAGUACUGUUAUCUGCUUCAGUUUUAUGUUUAUAUUCUUUUGUUUCAUAGUUUUCUGGGCAGUUGCCUUUAUAAUUUACAGUAUAGUAUAAUUCAAAUAAAUUCACUUUAAUAUGCUGACAAGAUCUAAUUGAAUGUAGUCUAUAUGAUCUAGCUAAUGUGGUGCCAACUUUAGCGAAAUUUUAUCACCAAGCAAGUGAAUCUUAUGAACAAGACAUAUCAGUGUGAUCAUAUAAUAUUUAAGAAAUCUUGUUCUGCAUCGUUCUUCCUUAAAAGAAUCUACCUAAGUUGCAUGUGAUAUAAAUGGUUGUAUUCUGCACUUCUUUUGAUUGAGGACUUAAUGUACACGAUUACACCAGAAGAGGUUAGUCUCUGGACUUCCUUUUGAGCACAAAAAUUAUUGGCGUGAUAUCCAUAUACGUGGUACUUCUCAUUUUACUUGUAAUGUCAUUGUAUAUAUAUCAACAUACCCGUUGUAAAUUCAUCUCAUUAGUGCGACGCACGCUCUAUAGGACUGAAAACACUAGUAAGGCUAUAAAAAUAAAUACAAUUACAGUUUAUGCUUCACUCCUAAUAUAACACAUUUGAAACAUGUAUCUUUGAACACCUACAUGCAACUUCCUAGGGGAAACACGACAAAGGCUCUAAAACUGCAUAGUUUAAUGUUUUCAUUCUGUAGGCAAUCCCCAUGAAUACACACAUAAAUACACAUAUAUAUUGCAGUACAGAAUUACAAAAUUUCAAACCUCAAUAAUGCAGAACAAAAAAACUAUUAGUUCUCUCCAUUAUUGACAUUACCUCUGAAAUUUUAGAUGCCGUGGAGCCUACUCUCGGCUUGUCAUUCUUAGAAACUGCAGCAACAUCCCGUCCAUCACUUUUGGCCUGCAAGUUGUAUACGUCGCCACAUACAAAUAACAACAAAAUCAAUGUCCUCCAUUGUUGACCAUAAUACAUUCAUAGGUCACAUUCGGGGAAAGUGAUAACUAUCGUGUGCUGCAACAUAACUUACCCCGCUUCGUACAUGUUUCGUACUAGAACCCGUGCGAACCCCAUAUCCAGCAGAGAAUAUUUGCAGAACAAACACAAUGGUUCCAUUGAUUAUUUAACAUACAAAAAAACCCAUUCCCCCCCUACGAAACCAAAAAAAACCUAUUGCAUUACAAGCACUUCCCAAAUAGCAUAGGACAUUUUAAAAGACUCAAAAAAGUUUAAUAUCAUAGCAGUGUCAAGUGCAGAACAAAGAAAGACUUUCACUCAGCAGCUUCGCAACAUAAGGGACAUAUGCAGGACACGUAUUCAGCAAUUAGAAAGCCUCAUCUUCAAAGUCCCAAAUUCAGUCAAUGUCUUUGCAACAUCAAAUGCAAAACAAACAGAUGGUUCCAUUGAUUAUGUAGCACAAAAAAUAAACCCAUUUGGCCCCUACUAAACAAAAAUAAAACUUUUGCAGUACAAGCACUCCCCAAUUAGCAUAGGACAUUUUUAAAGACCCAAAAAAGUUUAAUAUAAUAUCAAUUUCAAGUGCAGAACAAACAAAGAGUUUCAUUAUUUACACAGCAAAAAAAUAAUUUUCAAAGAGGCACAACGAGAACUGAAGAUAAUAUGCAGGAGUACCCAUCGACCAAAGCCACCGUAAAAAUCAAAUACCGUCAACCCACUCACCAAUUAUGCGACAUACAAUUCAAUUAAAGCACAUAGAAAUAAAUUGUUGGUCGUGCCUAAGAUCAUCGUUGCAUACAACUGCAGCCUCGCCUCAAAAGAUUUAUUGAGAUUGAAGAGUCCCGCACCGCUGGAGAGUGUGGGGAAUACCUGAACUCAUAAUGCAACAGCCUAGAAUCGUCCUGCAGACAACUACUGAGCCGGUGAAUUAAGUCUGUAGAGUCCCGCACCUAGGGUUGAUCACAGCGAAAUUCAAACCCUGUUGAUAAUGGACGUAGUUUGGAGCGGAAAAUGCGGGAUAUGGCUAUAAUUUGGAGUUUAAAAUUGAUUAAAACUGAUCCUGCAGCAUUUUAAUUCAUUAAAUCUCAACCAUAGGAUCUUCUUAAAAUUUAACGGUAGAUCUUAGGGACUCCAAUUUCUCAAUUAAUAUAGUACCCCAUAGAUCUCAACUCUAUAUAUAUAUAUAUAUAUAUAUAUAUAAUAUGUUAUAUAUAAUAAUAUAUAAUAAAUGUUAUAAUUUUAUUAUAUAUUAUAUAAACGGUUCGGUUUUUCGGUUCGGUUUUAGGGGUAAAACCGUAACCGUUACCAAACCGUUAUAUCAGUUCGGUUACGGUUUUUGUCGGUUACAGUUUUUUUCGGUUUGGUUUUUCGGCUCGAUUUCGGUUUUUCGGUUUUUUUCGCUCACCCCCUGCUCAAGUCCCUUCAAGUAUUAAGAAUACACCAAAUGCCUCAAGAUUUCAAUUAUAGGAUUAAAAGGGAUGAUGGUGAAGAGGGACUCGACUUUCACAAAAUUUCUCAUGUCCAUAGACUCAUUAUCGACGAUCAGGAAUACAAUCGAAUGUUCCCUCUUUUUUUUCUGCUAAAUCAGAUGUUUGUAAGUAAUAAUUAGAGGUAAGAUUAUUAUGUGUGACUUACCUGCAAUCUGUUAUAUUAUUAUUGUGUUUUUACAACUUUUUGAUGCCUGUACUUUCUUUUUCUGUUGUUUCCGUGCAGCAUUUCAAGCUCUUGCUUGCUUCGACAGAUCCUGAACAUCAAAACUGCAUUUAAUUGGAAAACUGGUAGAAUUGGGUCAUCUAAACUCCUGUUUCCUAUUACUAGCAGUCUAGCACAGGGGUGUGGAAGCAAAAAAGAGGGUUUGGGUCUGUAUGCAUGUGUCAUGUUAAAUGAGAAAACCCAGGAGGGAGGACUGAGCUUUUUUCCUCCGGAUUUACAAACUGAAACUGAUAGAUCACAGAUUCACAAUACCGGGUAGGAUCCACCCUUUAUUUUGAAUUGCAUGGUAUCGAUUCUCAAAAUGUUAUGACAUCCCUGAUAUCUCCAUUUGCGGAUGGAAGAUGAUCUCUCACUUAUUGAACUGUGUAUUAAGCAGUACAAAGUUCCUCCUGAGCGCAGAAUUUUGUUGUUAACCAGAAUUAGAUAUGCCCAUUCCUUGCGGUCAUCUAGAAUAUGCAAGUUGUUAACCUGAUAUCUCCAUUUGCGGAUGGAAGAUGAUCUCUCACUUCUUGCCUUUGGUAUGCAAGAACUAGUGUCACUCUUGCUAAUGAGCCUGAAUACACAAAUGAAUUAAUCAGGAUUGUGAAAUCCGAAGAUACAAUCUCUACGAAUAUUAGAACACUGGCAAUGCAUGCCUUGGCAUCUCAGUUAGCUGUAUAUUCAUCAUCUCAUGAAAGGGCAGCUAUUUUGAGCAGAUCAAGCAUUAGUUUUACUGGGGGUAAUCGCAUGACUCUCCUAGCCAUUCCACAGGGAGCUAUUUUAUCACUGAAUAGCUCUAAUGACCCAUCAUCAAUUGCUUUUUGUUGAAGCUCUACUACAUUUUUUUCUGAUUCAUCUCACAUCUAUGUCAAGUUCACAUAGCGUUACUCGUGGGGCAGCACUACACAAUUCCUUGUUGAAAUAGGGGACUCUAAGCUUAAGUGUGCCCUCAGAAAAAGUCGUUAGGAGUACUUCAAUGGAGAAUGCACCUGGUAUGCUUGAAAGCUAAAGUUUAUAAUCUAUUAUGUCUUAUUCUUUAUUACAAUUAAUAAAUCAUCUAUUCUCUAUGCUGAAUUUCUUAUUUCAGUUAAUAUUUAAUAUGCAAGUAGGAUGAAUUAUUGUUGAUGGAAGGUGAUGCAAAAAUGAUGUAUGCCGGGUCCUUUUAUAAUUGUUUAGUAAUUUACCGUAGAAGUCCACGAGCUAAUGAGUUGUUAAACUUUGUUUUUACAUGCUCAUCGUUUAGUAUACAAUGAUUGUCAUUUAUUUGGGAAUUGAAUAGUGAAUUAAUAUUUAUAUUCCCAAAUGGGUUAAUAGUUCUAUUACUCUGCUGGCUGCCUGGCUCCAGUUCAAGUAUCAGUUUUUCUAAUGUAAACUCGACCCGGCUAGCUUGAGUAAACUAGACUUGACUUACAAAUCAAUAUUUGUUCUGAUAAUUCUCGACGUGAGCGAGGGCCGAACAAUAUGUUCGAAGAAACAGAGAAUAAACACAUCACUUGGAUUAUCUAAUGACGCUUAACUCGACUCAGACUUAUUUAUUGUGCUAGCAAUGCAAACUCGGACUCUAACGAAUACUAACUCGGGUUACAGCAAGGGCCCUGGAUGAAAGCAUCAGGGUUGCUCUCGCCUAAUUAAUAUGCUUUGGCAAAGGGGAAUAUAAUUAUAGAGAAUCUGAUGUGCAGAAGAAACAAGUAUAAGCUGCUUGAUUUCUUCUAUUACUGAUUAUUUAAUACGCAAGUAGAGUUAAUAGUUGUUGAUGAAGGUGAUGUUAAAAUUGAUGUUUUGCUUAUAUAUGCUGAGUCAUUUCAUCAUUAUUUAGUAAUUAGUUGUGAAAUUAUGAGCUGAUCUGUUGUUCAGCUUUGUUUUACAUGAUCUCAGUUUAGUAAUAUAAUGAUUGUAUUUGUUUACUAAUUUGCCAGCUUCAUGCAGUUCAACUCCUUUAUAUAGAGUUGUUUGGUUUGUGGCGAAGAAUAACAAAUUAAUAUGGCUGAAGCAAUUGUGUCGAUUGUUGUGGGAAGGCUCACUGAUUUGUUAACUGAAAAACCUCAAAUCCUUCAUGAAGUGAGAGAUGAAAUUGAAGCCGCUGUAGCUGGGUUCAUGCAGAUGAAAUUUUUUUUACCAGAUGCUGAUUCAAGGAUCGAUGUAGAAAGAAUCGGCAUCUUGCUCCGGGAUGUACGAGAGCUUGCCUAUGAUGCUGAACAUGCUGUCAAAAGUUUUGUUAUUAAAGCCUCAUCCACUAAAAAACCAUUUCAGUGGAUGAACAGAGGCAAGUUUUCAAGGAAGAUGAAAUAUAUACAAAAAAAGAUGUCCAUCUUCUUCGAUUUAUUUUCUGAUUAUAAUAUCAGACCAACUUCUGAAUCAUCAACUUCCUCCAACAGAGAAUCGGGAAAACUAAAGCGAUUUCACUCUUUCACUACUCCUGAACCAGAGAUAUUUGUUGGAUUUCAUGAAGACGUCGAACAUUUGGUGCAACAUUUGGUGAAUGAAGCUGAUGAUUCUUACCCACUUAUAUCUAUUUGUGGAAUGGGGGGUCUGGGAAAGACCACUCUAGCUCAAAAGAUAUACAAUCACUCCGCCAUCAAGACUCACUUUGCCGGUUUAGCAUGGGUAUCAAUCUCGCGAAAGUGGCAAACAGAUCGGGUGUUGCAGAGAAUUCUUAUAUGUCUCGUCCCUGAGAACAAAAACUCUAUCCUUAAUAUGGAGACUGACAAGCUAGUGGAGUAUUUGCUACAAAUCUAGGAAAGGAAAAAAUGCUUGAUAGUCCUCGAUGACAUAUGGUCAACACAUGAUUGGAAUGCAUUAAAAGCUGCAUUUCCAGCCGGGAAGUCCAUAAGCAAAUUAAUGCUUACAAGCCGUAAUGCUGAAGUUGCUGAGCAUGUAAAUUUGAACGGAUUCAUUCACCAGCCAGAAUGUCUAAGUCCAGAACAAAGUUGGGAGCUACUCAAGUUGAAAGCACUUCACACUGGGAAUUGUCUAGGUACAUAAUUUUACUUAUGGUUCAUAUACUUCUUUUUAUAAUGUGUUUUGUCCGACAACCUUAUAAACAAUAGAACCAUAUUUUUUGUUAAUUGAGUUCGAUAAGUGUGGUUAUAGAUCUGUCUGACAACCUUAAGGAACACUGUUUGAAUUCGUUAGUUUGUUUACAAACCUAUGUAAUAGAAUUGUAAACGAAUCUAAUUAGGUGCCCUCUUGAGGUUAAUUUAACGAACUCAAGUUUGAACCACAUAUUUUGUUUAAGAACCUUAACGAAAUUUAUGGGGUUCAGUAAUUUUUGGUCGUGUUGGCUCAAAGUUUAUCCGAGUUAAGUUCGUUUAGGGCUCUAACUUGAAAGUGUCUUUUAAACAUUUGCAUUAGUUGAACGACUAAAUUGAAUAUUAUCUUGGCUUGUGUGUGUGUGUGUCUAUAUAUAUACACACAUAUGAUUCCCGUUUCUUGUGUGUUGCAGACAUUACCAGAGAUGUAAAAAGGAUGGAAGAACUGGGAAGGGAAAUGGUUGAACAUUGUGCCGGUCUUCUACUAGCUAUAGUCGUUUUGGGUGGAGUUCUUGUAACAAAACCGUCGUUGAUAGAGUGGGAGAAAGUUUAUCGUGAUAGUAAAUCAUCCCUGAAGGCAGGGAAAGGACUGGGAGAAGCCUAUCAAAGAGAAAUAUUAAGUUUUUUAGUUUGGAGCUACAAUGAUUUACCCCCUCAACUGAAGCCAUGCUUUUUAUAUUUAUCAAAGUUUGGUGAAGAUAAAUGGAUAAAACUGGAGACUUUGUAUCAACUAUGGAUCGCUGAGGGAAUGAUACUCUCGAGUGACAAAAGAGAAGGAGAAACAAUGAUACAAGUGGCUGAAUCAUACAUGGGAGAACUAGUCCACAGGAGUAUGGUUCAAGUGAGAUUUAACAAUGUGGAAUCAUCACUUACAAAGUUUAAAGAUUGUUCUCUGCACGACCUCAUGAGAGACAUGUCGUUAAUACAAGCAAAAGCAGAAGAUUUUUUUGAAGAAAUACAUUUCCAAAGCGGAAAUCAGUUUCAUCUCAAAUCUACUGCAGAUUCAAGGUCAGCUUGCACUCGACUUGUGAUUCGUUUGGAUGAGGAAUAUUCUAGCAAAAAAGCUAAUGACUACUUUUCUAAGAAAGGCAAUGAAAAAUGCUAUCGAUCAGUGUUACUCUUUGGUGACUCUGCUCCCACAAGUUUGCCACGGGCAUUGGGGUCACAUGUAUCCAAUUUUAGGUUCCUAAAAGUGUUUUCUGUGGAGAAUUACAGAAAUUUUUCUGGUGCAUUUUCUCAUAUUAAUUUUGGAAGAGGAUUAGGGGACCUUGUUUACUUGCGAUAUCUUAGUGUAAGAGAGACUAAUUUGUUGGUUUUUCCAUCUCUAAAAAAGUUGGUGCUGCUGCAAACUCUUAAAUUGGAUAUUAACAACGUGAACUAUGUUUUACCAUGGCUGUCAAGAGAUGUUCUGGUGAAGCUGGAUUGUUUGAGGCAUUUGUAUCUGCCUAAAUAUAAAGUUUACGUUUUGGGAUGGAAAUCGAAAUUUCGGUUCAAUGGGUUGAGCAAGUUAGAGACUCUAGAGAACUUUAACACUACUUGGUGUGAGGCUAAGGAUCUACAUGAACUAAUCAAUCUUCGUAAGCUAACGCUAACGGUGAGAGAUAGCUUUGAUAUUCUGGAAAUAGUGAUGAAAAACUUGGGUGAUAUAGCCUCCUCACCAUCUUCAUGUCUGAGGUACUUGGGUGUCAGUAUUAUUAAUUGUGGAAUCAUGCUGAACAAUGGUCUUACUAUCUUAAAACAAUUGGUACAUGCUGACAAUCGGAACCUUCGGGACUUGAAAAUAUAUGAGCGUAUCGCAGAGUUGGGUCUAAUAUUUCUGCGUCAAUAUGUAUCUACAAUUGGUAUUACAAGUUUAACUUUAGCGAGUUCAUGCCUAGAAGAAGAUCCAAUGCCAAUACUGGAAAUGCUUCCAAUGUUGGGUGCUCUCCACAUGUUUGGGAGGAAUCCAUAUGUGGGGAAGGAGAUGGUGUGCUCCGCAACCGGUUUUCCUAAGCUCACCAUUCUUUAUUUCUACGGCUUCCCGAACCUUGAAAAAUGGAGGGUGGAGAAAGGAAGCAUGCCCAUGCUUUCAUAUUUGUGUAUUGGAAAAUGUAAGAAAUUGGAGGAGCUUCCACAAGGUAUGAUGUUCCUCAAUUCCCUUGUAGGAAUAUUCCUACAACAAAUGCCUCAAGAUUUCAAUUAUAGGAUCACAAGAGAGGAUGGUGGAGAAGGACCCGACUUUCACAAAAUUUCUCACGUCCCUAGAGUUAGUAUCAACAAUCAAAAUUAUGAUUCUAUGUUUUCCGUAUUCAUGUAAGGUUUUUUCGAUAUUAUGAAAAUCAGUUUUUUGUUUUCCAUACUUUAAGUUGUUAAGUUAUAAUUUACUUUCUAUUAAAACUAGCUUAUAACCUGUGCAACGCACUAGCGGUUAUAAUAUUUGUUAUUUUAUCAUAUAUAGUUUUAAUUUAAUUAAUUUUAUCGUAAAAAUAAAAUUAUGAUAGAAUAAUGUGGUUAAAUAAAUUAUUAUUUAACAGCUGAAUAAAUUCUUAAUACUUAAGUCCGUCAAAUGACUAAUUAAAAAUUAGGUCAAACAUAUAUUUUGAUGAGAAUGUUAAAUAUAUUUAUUUACAUGUUAUAAUUUAAGGAGAUCUAUAAACCCAUAUAUAAAUCAACCAAUCAACCUCAUAAUAUUUCGUUAGUAAUAAUUAAUAAUAUAGUAUAAAACAUAUUAUAAGUCAAAGAGACGCGUAAUCCCAAAUAUCGAUCCAUUACCUAAUUUUUAAUGUUUUGAUUCGAUAGAUAAUAAAAAAAUAUUAUAACAUAUUAUAAAUUAAUGAGGUCCGUGGGUUGAAUACCAACGGUCUCACCAAACUCGAUUGAUCGACCGACCAACUAACCAAUUGAACUUUUCAUUUUUCGGUUUUCGGCUUUAACAGUAUAAUAAUAUAUAGUAUAGUAUAAAUUUAUAAUAUCAUUUUUAAUGUGAGACCGUUAGAAUAUUUAAAAAUAAUGUUAAUUAAUUUCGGUUGAAAAAUAUCACCUGUUAUUUAUUAAUAAAUAUAUAUAAUAAUAUUAUGUUUUUAUACAUAUGUCGCCUGUGUUAAUUGUAGAAAAAUGAUUUUUUAGUUAGAAAAAAAUAUUUAUCCUGAACUCUAAAUCUUUAAAAUUAAAAAAAAACAUUUUUUUCAACGGAGAAGUUGUGUUUGUUGAAUUACAUUUAGUUUCAAAUUGCAAAAAUACUUUCUUAAAAAUUUUAAAAAGAUUGUAUAUUAUCGAAAAAGAACUCUAAACAUGUGUUAUAUCCUUAAAUUCUAUACUCUCUGACGCAGAAAAAUAAAUUAUAUUCGAAACAGAUUAUUAAUUUAAACUUAUAGUAGAGAGGUGUUUCGGUGAAGACCCCCGCUUAGUGCACAAUAAAAUAAAUAGAUAUAAUAAGAAUAUAAUAUCUUAGCCAUGUCCUUCUUCACACAGGACUUACCUAAAUAGUUCCUAAUGCAUCUGUGAACUGAGGACUUACCUAAACAGUUCCUAUUAUCACGAAUGCAUCCAUGAACUGAGCUAAUAAUCCUUCAAAACAUAAUGCAACGAACCUCGUAAUCUCUGUAAGCCACGAGACCUAGUCUCAACUAUUCUAAUAAGUCGUCCCCAAUCAUUCUUAUCUAAUGUCAUAUCACCCGUCCCCAAUCAUUCUUAUCUAAUGUCAUAUCACCCGUGAGAUUUAAAGCUCUCAUGUCCAAACUUAAUUGAUUAGCCCAUGUCCGACGAGGCUGACUUCUCUUUCUCUAGUCAUUCAUUAUUCUUGAGGUGAACAACAGUUAAAAAAAUUCAGAGCCGAGGUAUUCUUACACAGCAAAAUAUCGAUUUAUGAUAAUGUUGGACAGCAGAAAAUGAAAAGGAAGUAAUAUUUCACUAACCAUAUGUGAUAUCCAAUCCCAACAUUGAAAAUUGCUCACUCGAGAGAGACUAUAUUAGUAUCUCAUUCAUUAUUCUCGAAAUGGACAAGUGUUGAAGGAAUCCCGGAGCCACAAAUAUAACAACCUAACGACAGAAUAUUAAUUUAUGAUAGUACUGGACAGCAGAAAAUCAGAGAAAGUAAUUUUUCACUAGCCAAUAUGUGAUAUAUUUUCAUGCUGCCAACACAACAGAGUACAUUGUUGCCCUCAGGUUGCAACAAAACACAAAACUAGGACACUUUUAACUCUCGACUCCGCCCUUUGUUCAAACUUUUUCUUUGUGAUCUUUCUUUUCUUUAUAGUUAAACUACAAUAUAUACAGCGUUUAGGACUGGGAAACUGCUCUCUUCAAGACGCUGAAGGCAACGAGCAUAAGCAGUGAUAUCAUAAUCUUCUUUGAAGCAAGAAUCCGCAAGUUCACCUUCAUGCCAUGGUCUCUCAUGAGCUUCACUGUUGCCCUAAUUACUGAAAUAAGCCAGAAUACAACGGACAAGAACACCACUUUCAUUGUGUCUGCAGGUCCAUUCACACUUCUUGUGCCUCCCGACACCUCGACAUAGGACCAAGCAGCGCCUUGAUUAUCGGUAGUUCCACUCUGAUUGAGGCCAAGUUUCUCGUUCAACCAACAUGAUAAAGUCACAAGCAGCUUUGCAAGCCAUGCAAUCUCAUCAUUGGAGACUGGUCGCUUCAACCAGUCACCCCUGUAUUUCGUACCGGUUUGCUUCUUGUUGCGUAUCAUUCUAGGACUAAAUAUCUCAUCACGUGGAUGCUGAUUUUCUCUUGUCUCGGGGACUGCUUGUGUGUUCCUUGGAGUAGAGUUACCAAAUAAGCACCCCAUCUGGGCUUUGAUAGAAUCUAAACAAGCCAUAUUGUGAGCAUGAUUAUCUCCCAUGACAGUCUGCAGCUCCGACUCAGCACGCAACACAAAGAGCUGCAAUAACAAUAUGACUAGUGAGUGAGACUUGAGAUUUAGAAUGACACAAUUCCAUUCCUAGAAUUUAUAUAGUUCAUACAUAUAUAUUUAAGUACACUAUAUGCUAAAAGUGUUGGAAUAACCUUAAAUUUAAUUAUUUUUAAUAGAGUUAAUUGCAGAGUGUGUACCUCUAGUUUGAGGCUUGUGCACUUGGUGUACCUCAGUUUUGGUGUCUAGCAAUGUGUGUACCUCAGCUUUGAAGAUGCUUGCACAGUGUGUACUUUCGUGAGUUUGCAGCUUAACGGCGUUAGAUUGGAGGGACAGCGGGAUAAUUUGACAAAGAAAAAGGGAGGGGCAACGGCUAUAUGUUUGUAUGUGUUAUAUGCACUCUACUAUAUGGUCUGUAGUCGGGCUAGCUUAUGGACCUUGUGUUGAACAAAAGAAUGGAGUGCGUCGCGAGAAUGUUGAUGAUUAUGCUACUUCAGGACAAGAAUUGUUAAAGAGAAAACCGGCUCAAAUAACUGAUGAAGGCAAUAUUGUUAAAGAGCCAUGAAGAACCAAAGCACUCUCACCGGCUUGAUGUACUGUAUAGUUUGUGGCCUGAUACAUGUUGCAAAGGUUCUUAGCACUUUCACUUCUUGAUGCAUUAUAUUUCUUGUAUUCACCCAUGGAUAAAUGCAUAAUCAAGACACUGAAAAAUUAUGUGCCAUCACAGAAUAUUAGAUCAUAAUAGUAAUGAUAAGCAUGGUUUAUCCCUUAAGCAAAAUUAAGACAGUAAGCCGUUUUGUCAACUCGAAAAAAAGAUCUAGAAUAUAAAAUAGUAUUUUCUUUCCAGUACCUCUGUACUUGCAAUGCUGUAUAUUUGUAAAUAAUAUGGUAUUUAACUGUAUUACAGAAGUGGUAUAAGAAUAAACAGACAUAAAGCAUUCUCUCUUGUUCACUACUUGUCCAUAGAUAUUUAAAACAUUUUAAUCCCCUUGUAUAGUAAACAGAAUUGUAGCAAGUUCUAACUGAUCCAUUCUUGCUGUCAUACUCCCUUUAUCAGAAUAUUCUUCCCCAUUUGCGCCACGAGUAAGAGUAUUACAUAGAUUCAGCUGAUCAGACAAUGCUGCUGUAAAUUCAGAUGAAUCCUCAAUGUUUUCUAGUUCAUUAUCCUUUCCUGAAGGUUAAUUCACUUGUAACAACUCUUCUUCUGAAGAAGCAGAACCUUUCUUAUCGUCGGGUCUAAAGCCAUUCCAUUGUUCAACACAAGGACCGUAAGCCCAACUGCAAACAAGAUAGUAGAAGAGGUUUACUGAACUCGUGAUUGCAAGAAGCCAGUAGUAACUCUCAAAAUGUCCCUUGUUGAUAUUACUUGAAGUCCAGCUCUCUUUUCCUCCUUUACUUGAAACAUUGUUUCCGGUACUCAAUAUAGCACUAGCUAACAAGUUUGCAAAUGCCAUCCCUAGCCCGAACAUGGCUGAUGCAAUGCUGGACAUGCUGUUAGGGAAUUCUGAAUAGUAAAAUUCUGUUUGAGCUAUUGAGUUGAAAGCCUCGCCUAAUCCACUUAAAACAUGUUGUGGUACUAACCAAUAUGCAGACAUGUUAACCACACCGCUUGGAUUUUCUCUAAAACCUUGUUCGAUUGCUUUGGUUCGUCUUAUAUGUUCCACAAUGGCUGAGACAACCAUAGCCAAGAAUACUAUUAUCAUGUAAAAUAAUUGAAUAUAAGAGCAGUAUCAGUCGAAGUUGCUUAUGUAGAUACUUUAAUGACCAAAGUCGAUCACUAAAAAAAAUCUUUUGAUACCUUAUCAGUGGGCACAAGUCGUUCUGAAUCUUUGAGAGUAUGUGUAAUAGUAGAAUCUGGAGAAGGAAGUGUCAUUCUUCUGUUCUUGUAAACAACUGCAAUCACUUGCAUGAAGCUACUAAACAAGUUUGUUUUGACUUUUGGUUUGAUAUAUAAAGAAGUUGCAAUCAAGAAAAGAGCAGUUGAAAGGAACAUGAGAAGGGCUGGAACUCCAAAACCCACUUUCCAGUACCCCAGAUGAUCUUGAAUGUAGACAAUGCAAGUGAAAGCAAGCACGACUGCAACAGCUGCGGAAGCGUAUUACCAUCCGAAGAACCGUUCUAGCAUCCUUUUAUUCAUGGGAUUGUCCUUGUCAUCUAUUUGGUCAGCCCCAAAUGCUAGUGAACAAGGCCUAACACCACCUGCUCCAAUUGACAUAAGAACAAAGGACGAGAGCAAAACCAAGUACUGCAUUGUAGAAGUAUAUUCAAAGGUCUGGUGUUGCAACACAUAAAUGAGAUUCUAGGUUAUAAAUGAGGAGACAAAGAAUGUCUUCUUGUGCCGCCAAAGAUGAGUAGUAAACAAGAAGCCUCCAUUGGAAAUGUGUGUGUUGCCCUUUGUGAAGUAACGGUGUUAAUUCUCAGCUGACGGAAGUACACACAUUGCAAGCAUCUUUAAACUAUAGGUACACAGUUUGCUAGAUAUGAAAGGAAGGGUACACAAAGUGCACAAGCCUCAAACUAGAGGUACACACUAUGCAAUUUACUCUUAUUAAUAUUUGUUUAGUUAUAUAUUUUGAGGAUUAGUUUUAGAUUGAAGUAGUUGGAUGUUUGUUGUAGAGGUACAAGAAUUAAUACAAAUCAAUUUUAUAUUCUACACUUGGCAUUGGAGCCAGGUUACGCCGCCAGGCGGUGGUGAAGCCGCCGCUAGUGGUGAAGGCACAUAGUGAGUGUUUGACGAGAUAGUUUCAGGUAGGCGUUGCAGAAGGAUUGUGGCAAAGCUGCAUGUGUAGUAUGGGAUGCAUGUAUAGUAUGAGGCUGCCAAGAAAGACGAGGCGAUGCCUACUGAAGGUGGAAAAUGAGAUAGAGUGGAAGAAGGUCAUGCAGAACGAGAUGGAUCUUGCGUUUUUUAUGACGGAGUUGAACGAGAACCUCUCCUUCAAAAUUAUGGGUGAUUAUGUGUACCUGGAGAGAAUUUUAGAAUUAUGGGUGAUUAUGUGUACCUGGAGAAAAGUGCUCCAGUGAAUUUGGCGUUGAUGAGAAGUGCAUCAACAAAUUGGUGUUGAUGAGAAGUGCAUUGACAAAUCGGUGGUGGUGAGAAGUGCAUCACAUAUAGAGGUGGCAAUCGUUUCGUUUCGUAUACUUCUGUUUCGUGUAUUUUCAUGUUUCGUGUACUCAAAGGUGAAACCCGUAUCCGCCCGUUAUCAAUUUCGUGUACCAAAUUUGAAACCCGUAUCCGAUCCGAAACGUUUCGUGUAUUUUUCAUGUAAUCAAAAAAUAGCUUUAAUAUAUAUUUUUCUAUAUAAUUUACUAAAUAUGAAUGAUAUAUUUAUGCUCGCAUACAAUUAUCUACAAAUUUGUUAAUGUAUCUAUAAUAUGUAUCUACAUAUACAUAUAAAUAUAUAUUUAUUUAACACAAUUAUAUAUAUAUAAUAUAUUAUACCAAAUAUAUAAUGAAAUCUAUGUAUAAAUAUUUCGUGUACUUUCGUGUAUUUCGUGUACCCAAAAUGAAACCAAUAUUUGACACGAAAUCUAUCGUGUAAUUUCGUGUUCGUAAACUUUCGUGUUUCGUGUAUCAAAAAUCAAAACUCAUAUCCAUUUUUUUCGUGUCGUUUCGUUUCGUGUUAGCGUGUUACGUGUCAAAUUGCCAGGCCUAAUCACAUAUGAAGAGAAGUGCUUCAUAAACUCUCUUAAGUAAAUUUAAGAUUAUGGGGUGAUUGUUGGAAUAAUAUUAGAGGGGUGUAUUGGAUUGAGAUUUUAAAGCCUUUUUUUGCAUUCAUAAAAUCCGAGGGUAUUGGAUUGGGAUUGUUUGAAAUCAAUUAAAAUCUUGAGGUAUUCAAUUGAGAUUUUAAAUUAUACUACAAAAUCCGGUGGUAUUCACUUGGGAAUUUAAAUUAUGAUUUAAAAUCCGAUGGUAUUCAAUUGGGAUUGUUUCAAAUCCAUUAAAAUCUGAUGGUUUUCAAAUGCUGAUGGAUUUUUUUGCAUUUCAUAAAAUGAUGGAUUUUGUGGCAUUCUUCGGUGUAUUUUUUUACAAUUGCGAUAUAGACUAAAAAAAAAAUAUAAUAGGAUGUUCAUAGUGCAACGAAUCUUGCCCGUGUUGCGCACACGGGCAAUUUUUAUUUUCUAUAUUUUAAUAAUUGAUUGCAAUGUCUUUUUAAUUGUAACGCGCUCAAUAACAAAUUCAUAGACGAAUACUGUACAAUAAGAUGUAUAGAGACAUUGAAUGUUAAUUUAUUAGAUCAAAGUAAAUAUAAGCUGUUUUAGAUGGUUGGAGCAAUAGUUUUCAAACUUGAGGCCAAGAAAGAAAGUAAAUACAAUGCAGAAAGAAAGUGUACGAUAAUCAUGAAAGAAAAUAAUUGAAAUAUAAUUAUAUUUAGAUUUUUCAGAAAAAGUAAAAUAAAAUUCCCGUGUGCGAAGCACGGGCAAAAUUUGCUAGUUCUUACAAAAAGAAGAGAGGGGGAAAUAAACCUAUAGCAGCCGUUGUCCGCCAUCAUCACCAUCACUAAAUAACUGCAAAUCUUUGUUCCAAUUCUCAUGCAAGAAAGAGCCAUCAGCGUCAUUUUCACACAAUCCAUCCUCCCAGUCCUUGUAAAGCAAAAAAGAACAAGGGAUUUACAUAUAAACCUCUGAAAAAGAGUUGAAGAAUGCGCACGCGCGCACACACAAAAGAGAUGCAGAUAUGUCUUUAUACCUGCAGCUGUUCUCUGAUUGAUGGAACAAAUCUGUACAAGUUAUUGUGUAUGGGUUUGGAUGACCCAGAAGGCUUAGAAUGGAAGACAGUGUCCACAUUCUUUAUAAGAUUUAUCAGCUCACUGGACGAUGUCAAUAUGCUUAAGACCUGCGUAAGAAAUACAAGAAACAUAUACAAAAAUAAAUAAACAGAAACUACAACCAAUUGAUGAUCUUGGGAUAAAUAUAUAUACGGAUUUUAAAAUACAAAUUCCCCACUAUUAUCAAAAUACUGCCGAGACCGAUACUCGGACACGUAACCAUGUUGAACACUUUUAGCCGAGUCCAUGUAAUAUAGAUUCCCCAUACGUAAGCUUACCAGAUGUAUCCCCAUGAGCAACCAUAAAUUAAAAGAAGCUCAAAGAAAAUAAUUAGCUUUUUGUUGUGGUUCAUUCAGAUGUAUCCAUCAAGCAUUUUCCAGGACCACUGAAGCAAUCUAUGCAAAACCAUGGUUGAACAUCACUAACUACACAAGUAGCCUUCCUCUUGUGUUCUGCUUAUCCAGGUAAAAAAGAAAAGACUACAUGUCUUUUUUUGCUAGCAUGUCUUAAAAUGUACUAUUAUAUAAUUUUCUUAGUUUUUUAAUAAUUUCACCCAUCUAUAAAAGUAUAAACAGAGGACAAGAACAUAUAUCACACCUUUUGUGCUUCUUUACACCUCAACAGAGAACCAAGCAGGGCCUUGAUUAUCGGUGGUUCCACUACGAUUCAGGCCAAGUUUCUCAUGAUAAAGUCAAGGAGCUUUGCUGCUUUGCAAGCCAUUCCAUCUCCUUAGCGGAGACCGGCCACUAUUGUCCGGGCAUGUGUGGGUGAACUUAAUUUGAAAUAUAAUCAUUUAUUUUGAGAACAAUUUCACAUUCACAUACUAUUAAAUAAUAUUAAGUGUUUAGAGGACAUUUAGCAGAAAAUACACAUUUACAUACUUUCUCUUCCAGAUAUAAGUAAUUUAUUUCAAAAUACAAAAUAAGUUAAACGCCCAAGAUGUUUGAAUCAGUGAAUUACGCAAAUAUUUAAGAAUGAGAAAUCAUGGAGUAUGUUAUAAUACUCAAGUGCUUGUUACAUUCAACAUUUUACGGGAAAAAAGUAAAUUAAAUAUUUGCAAGAGAAUUAAUAGCAAAAAACGGAGCAAAUGUGUUCCAAAUUUUAAUUUUAAUAAAGCAAGUAAUGCUAUUGUAUUAGUUCUGGAAACAAAACGUAAUUUUCUCAUGAUGCAGACGCAGCAAACCGAUGAUUCCAAGUGUCUGUUAGCAGAAGGGGAGAGUGAAGAAGAAUAGAGAGUAUGAAGUGAUUUGCUUUGCUAUGAGGAGGUUAUGCAGGAAGCGGAACCAAGAGCGGUGAUGUUUGCAGAAACACAAGAGAAAGACUUCAAAUGGCAUCUUGAAAAGGAAUGAGAGCUGGCAAUUGGAGCAAACACAGCAACGACAACAAAAGUAAUCAAGGAAGAUGAGUAGGAUAGGCUUGUGAAACUGAGCUCCUGAAUUUCUGUUCUGCUUAGGAUUUUCGACAUAAUAGAGUUAUGAAUAGUAAUUACAAAAUUGAAAAAGUUGAACCAUAAUAUCAAACACAGAAGGGAAAAAAAUGGUUUUAAUAUGAACACCAAUCGACUCAAUCAAUUUGAUUACUAAAUUGACUAAGUGCUGCUUUAAACGGGUGCCCAAGACAUUAGUGAUGAAAAAGAUUAAAGUCGAUAAUUAGUGAUGAAAAAGAUAUAAAGAGCUUGCUUGGCCAGUACUUAAAGUCCUGGACAUUAUAAUCAUGUGGUGUAAUCACAUGGUUUAAUGAAUUAUUGUUGAAUUUUGCAACCAAAGAAGCAUGAAAAUGAUGAAAGACUGUCUCAGAGUCAUAUACAGUGGCUCCAUUAUAGUUUAAUUAAUAUACUUUGGCAAAGGGCAAUACUGGACAGCAAUAGAGAAUAUAAAGUGAUCACUCCUCACUUUAUAUUCUAGGUCAAAUUUGUUAUACAAAUUUACACUUUACACUUUACACUUUGUUAUACAAAUUUGUCCACUAAUUUCACAAUGAUCGUAUCAGGAACGAGUUCAAGUAUAUCAGAAGUAUAUUCUAGGUCUAAGCAAAAAUCUUUUAACACAAGUUUGUUCAAUUAACAACAGUCAUAAGCUGUAAGAUCAAUAAUAGACUGGAUGCAAAUGCUAUUUAACAAAAACGUUACCAACAUCGCAUCGCAACAACAAAUAACACCGAUAAAAGACCGAAAACAAACACAAUCCACCAAAAUAUGACCAGCUUCGCAUCGCAAGGUCAUGGAAUUUGAACUUAAGAUUCUAUAUGUUAUGUUUUAAGUCUGAACUCAAGUUUUGCCUAUAUCAGAUCAUAUUCCAAACUCAACUAAUGUGGGAGACUUGUGUAAUGAGUGCAACUGACCUUUUGCAACAAACAAGCACAUCACUUCAAACUCUCCGACUAGCUUUUUCUUUUUAAAAUAAAAAGAAAACAGCAGCAAUUAUGAUCUCUCCAUUAAAGAUAACAAGUUCUGCAACUUUCAAAAUUAUUUGCUUUAUAUAGACUUGUUUGGUUUCCAAUGUGCUGAAGACACCAAUACAUUUGAGCCUUAUCAAAUUUAUUACUCCCUCAUCCCAUUUUUAACUGUACUUUAUAUAGACUUGUUUGGUUUCUGCUGAAAAAAAAGUUAAACGAAUUAAUAUGGCUGAAGCAAUUGUGUCGAUUGUUAUGGGAAGGCUCGCUGAUUUAUAGAUUGAAAAACCUCAAAUCCUUAACGAAGUGAGCGAUGAAAUUCAACUAGCUGUGACGGAGCUCAUGCGGAUAAAGACAUUCUUACCUGAUGCUGACUCAAGGAUUGAUGUAGAAAGAAUCCGCAUUUUGCUCGGGGAGGUACGAGAGCUUGCCUAUGAUGCUGAACAUGCUGUCGAAAGUUUUGUUAUUAAAGCCUCAUCCACUAAAAAACCAUUUCAGUGGAUGAACAGAGUCAGAUUUUCAAGAAAGAUGAAAGAUAUACAUAAAAAGAUGUCCCUCCUCUUCAAUUUAUUUUCCGAUUAUAAUAUCAGACCAACUUCAGAAUCAUCAACUUCCUCCAACAGGGAAGAUGGUGAAGAAGGACCCGACUUUCACAAAAUUUCUCAUGUCCGUAGACUCAUUAUUGAUGAUCAGGACUACAUUUGAAUGUUCUUGUAAGUUUGCAAGGUAUAAAGUUUUGUUUUGGUCGUGAAGAACAUAUUGCUUGAGAAAUUAUUUGAUCAUUUGCUUCUCAUUAACCUAAUUUUAUAUGAUUAAUUUAUUUUCCAUCAAAAUUAAUACUUUUACCGUUGAAAAUAAUUUAAUUAAGACUUUUAAUUUUCUUAUUUCAAUUAUUAUUUAAUAGCCCGGUAGCGUUGAUGAAAGUGAUACAAAUAUUGAGAUGAGUCAUUUUAUAAUUGUUUUACGGUAGAAUUCCACGAGCUAAUCGGUUGUUAAACUUGGCUUUUACAUGCUCAUCGUUUAGUAUACAAUGAAUCAAUAAUAGUCAUUUAUUUAGGAAUUAAACAAUAAAUUAAUAUUUAUAUACAUGAGUAUCUCCGACCAUAGGAAACUCUCAGUUAAAAAGUGAGAUGACAUAUAAAAAUAAAAAAAUAUAGUCAAUCUUUUGAAAAAUUCACACUCCAAACAUAGUAAUUCAUUUUCUAUAAUUUUAGUCAACCUCCUAAGUUGACUAAAUUUGUCGAACUUCUGCUCAUCAGUAAAAUAUCGGUAGGAAGAUUACACAUCAUUUGUUAUCAUAUUGAACUGAUAUAUUCUAUUUUAACAAUCUAAAAUAUUAAUAACAUAUUAUUUUUAGAUUAUAGCCAACCAAUAUAACCAAUACAAUUAGAACAUAGUGUCUCAGAGGUUCAACAAAUUUUACAUAUUGUCUUGCAAAUCUAAUUUAUCGAAUGAUCUUAGUUUGCUGAUUCCAUGCAGUUUAACUAUCAUUUUUUCUAUUGUAAACUCAACCGCGACCCAAAUUAUUUGUUGUGCUACUUAUGCAAACUCCGACUCUAUAACUAACAAUCCUGUGAUUCAUAUAAAAUAUAGUUUUAUAAAUUAAUAUAUUCUUUUUUUGGAAUAAAAAAGUUGAUAUUUAAAUAUUUUUAUAAAAAAAAAGUUAAAAUUAAAUUAUAAAGCUAUUUUAUAUGAGUCUUAAAAUAUGUGUGUAAAAAAGCCCGUAAAUAAAUCAGGGGACCGAGGGAAUACCAACUACAAUUACUCCAAGGGCCCCCUGGAUGCAGAGAGCAUCAGGGUUGCUCUUACCUAAUUAAUAUGCUUUGGCCAAGUAGAAUCGUAGUGAACAAUUAUAGAGAAUCUGAUGUGCAUGCAGAAGAAACAAGUAUAAGCUGCUUGAUUUCUUAUAAUACUGAUUAUUCAAUACGCAAGUAGAGUUAAUAGUUGUUGAUGAGGGUGAUGCAAAAAUUGAUGUACGUGGAGUACUUGUGGAUUGUGGUACAUACAGUUAGCACAGGUGAAACCAGAAAUCCUUCCGGAGUAUCCGUCUCCAAAUUUGGCACAAAUAAGAUAUGUUUUCUAAUUUCUAUUUUUUGCCUCAUCUAUUUAAGAUAAUCUUCACAUUACAUAUUUGCUUUUAUUUUUAAUAGUAAAAAUAUCUUAUACCAUUUUUAAAUAUAUUAUAUUUGUUCGCGCUAAAUUUUGUGUUCAAGUAUCUACUGUGAAGUUCAGAAAAUUUAUUCAGGUGGACUUAACUCAUGAUAAGCCCGAAUGUUCUCGAAUCCGUGAGUCCAUGAGUGAACCUAGUCCUGGGCUCAUUUCUCAAAAUCCCAACGAAGAAGUUUAUAAGCCAAGGGUGCCUUACCCACAAAGGCUCAUUCGCCCUAAACAAUCGGCCCAAAUUGAACAAAUUCUAGAGGUUUUCAAACAAGUCAAGAUAAACAUUCCUCUUUUAGAUGCCAUUCAACAAGUUCCUUCUUAUGCUAAGUGUCUAAAAAAUCUGUGUACCCAUAAGCGAACCACCCAUGUUCCUAAGAAAGCCUUCUUAACCUCGCAAGUAAGCUCGAUUCUCUCGAAUCAAAUUCCCGUGAAAUAUAAGGACCCCGGUUGUCCUACAAUUUCUUGUGUCAUAGGCAAUACUUGCGUGGAAAGGCUUUACUUGAUUUAGGAGCGAGUGUGAAUCUUCUUCCUUUCUCGGUCUACCAAGCCCUAGGUUUAGGGUAUCUCAAGACCACCAAUAUGACCCUUCAACUUGCCGAUCGUUCGAUUAAAAUGCCAAAGGGAAUUAUUGAGGACGUGUUGAUAAAAAUCGGUGAUUUUAUCUUUCCUGUUGACUUUGUUGUUCUCGAAACUCAACCCGUCUCGAAUCCUAAGAACCAAAUUCCUAUCAUUUUAGGACGACCUUUUCUUGCUACAUCCAAUGCCUUAAUCAAUUGUAGGAAUGGUUCAAUGAAGCUCACUUUCGGAAACAUGACCAUUGACUUAAACAUUUUCAAUGUAGGAAAAGAACCCAAUGAGCUUUAUGAGCAACCUAUAGGGGUCAAUGUGGUCAACAAGUUUGUCACAUGGUCUAGCUUUGAGGAUAGUGAGAUUGAGUCUCUUCUUGGUGAGGAUUUCAAAUUCAACAAUGAGAAUAAUAGGGAAUAUCACGAGUUUUUGAAAGAGUUGACCUCGGAGGAGUUGUUAGGAGAAUUGAACGAGAUUUGUUCAAAAUGGGAGACUCCACCCGAGAUUGUUAGUGUGAGCCCUAGGCGCGAUUUUGAGAGUCAUGUAGGUGAACCACCGACAUUUGACUCGUUGUUCCAUCAUUCGCUUAGUGCCUUAGGGAGAGACGAAAUCGUUUCGCACAUCAUUACUAGUGAUUUGUCCCUUAACCAAGAUUUCAUAGUCUCUAAUUUGCUUGAUGAUAAAGAAGCAUUAAGUUGGUUUCGGGAGAACAUUAGUGAUACUUGUCCUAUAGGGAUGAAUGAUUGUCACAUGCUAGAGAAAGUCUUUGUGCAUAAAAAUUUUCGAAAACAUUUUGACUCUUUCUCGAAGCUCCCUCCCAUCUUUCCUUCCGGAAUUGGCUGAUUCGCUUCCAUCUUCGAACCUUCCCCCGUGAGAUUCAGGUAUUGGGAAGGAAAUGUGUGGGUGAGUGGGUCGUGUAUGUGUUUCAAUAGUUAAUAAAAUCCCUUCAUCUCCUAUUCAGGUAUUUUCCCUCUUUACUCAUACAUUUCAAUUCUCUCUUUUGCAUACAUUGAGGACAAUGCAUGAUUUAGGUAUGGGGAGGGCUUUAGUGUAAUUCUUAAAAAAUGAAAACCCUAAAAAAUGAAAAAAAUUAGAAAAAUCCAAAAAUAGAGAUGUUUUAGCUAAGUUGUCUUUCCCUCACUUGAACUUUAGGAGUAGUUGGUGUUUAGCAUGUUUUCGAAAAGUAAAUAUAUAUGUAGUGUCUUUUAGAUAAUUUGAACGUAGUUGAGUAAGGUUGUCUUUUUGAAGAUUGUAUCGACCGAUUUGUACUUGUAAUUCCAAGAUGGCACACACAUUUGCACAAGACCUUUGAUGGAGAGAUUGUCCAGUGAUAUUAUUCGAUACCUGAGAGAGAACCCACAUGUUGAAACAAUGUCGAACCGAACCUUUGCGACUAAAAAAAUAGCAAAAAAAAAAAGAAAAAGAAAAAAAAGGAAUAAACUACUUCAAUACCCAUUGUUCUUUAUAGAUAAAAUCUUUAGAUAAAUGGGCAAAAGUAGAUUGACUAGUCUCGUUUUGUGGCCUUUGUUACUCGAGCAAUUAAGUCCGUAGGGGGAUUUCAAAACCUGGUGCCCUACGACCGUUUGGUUUGGGAGUCACUGGCCUAAAGCUCGCUACAUGGGUAACAUUGUUUUCCUAAGAAAACGGACUAAAUAAAGUCAAUGCAAAAAAAAAGAGAAAAAAAAACAAAAAAAAAGGGAAGGAAGAAUAAGAGUUUGUAAAGUUUGGCUAGAUAUUUGUUUCGAUAGAGAUUGGGUCAGUUCAAAAUUGGUUGAAAAAGAGAAAGUGUUCUUAGACAAUUAGGAUCCAUCAAAGGCCUUAAAUUACUUACACUCCUUGGAUUUCUAGAAAAUUUUUGUGUCGAUUCAAGUAGAUUUGAGGCAACUGGAUCUUGAUUAUUAGUAAAAGAGUCUUUGAGUCGUAUUUUCCUUAAAAACGCUUUUUGUUAACACCGGCGAAAUUAGAGUAGAGUCGAGUAGACACUUGCUAGAAUGUCUCGAAGAUUUUAUGGGUAUAUCUUCUGUAAACCCUUAGGAGACAAAACUCCUCUUGUAGAGAUCGUCUACGAGUUUAACGGGUUGGUGAACCUAAAAUCACCCGUCACGCCUACGAAAAGGAGCCUAGGACUUGCAUUUAGUUUUCUUAGUUUAUUUUCUUUUCUUUUGAUUUUUACUCGAGGACGAGCAAAAUUUAGGUAUGGGGAAGUUUGAUAAGUCGAUAUUUUUGCAUCAUUUAGAUACCUAUUUAUUGCUUGUUUUCGUAUUUUUAUUAGUUAAUUGUUUUGUUUUCAGGAAUUUUUAGAGAAAUCGAGAAUUCAAGAGAAAAGGAACAAAAAGGUGCAAGAAGGGAAAAAGAGGAAGAAAAAGAAGAAGAAGAAAAAGAAGAAGAAGAAAAAAAAGGAAAAGAAAAUCAAGACACAAGACUAAAUUUGUAAACACUUUUAUUAUAUCAAUACAAGUAUUCAUUUUUGUUCUUAAAUCUUGCUCUUUACUUUUACUUCUAGGCUAUGAAAUCUUUCUCUAACCACAUGAGACUCAAAAUUACUUGUGGAUUGAAGGGAGCCUAAUUAUAUGUUUUAAGCUUGCAAUUUUUUAGUAUUUAAAUUGAGCCCCUUUUAAUUCUCAAUAUUAUUAGUGGGUUCAAUGGUUUAGUAUUCUAGAUUUUGGUUUUAGCUUGUAGUUUGAUGGGGUUUUGUUAGAUACAUGGUAGAUAAGCUAGUUUUGAAGUUUUGUUUGAUUUGGAGUUAGUUUGGUAGGAUUUGGUAUUGUUCUUGUUCUUGGUUUUGGUAUUUUUUGGGGCUUUUGGGUGUAAAUUUUAGUUUGUGAUUUUGAAUUGAGGUUAGUGGGUUUAUGUUAGAAAUAUUUUGCUUAGGUUAGAUUUGAAAUUUGGUGUAGUUUAGAGUUGUUAUGAUUUGAUUUGAGUCUUAUUUUGGUAAAAAUGGGUAGUUUAGGGGCUUUUUAGUGUAGAAUUUGUUGUUGAAUUUGAUUUAAAGGUUAGUGGGCUUUGAUUUGUAAUAUUUGGAAUGGCUAGAUUUUCCGGUCAAAUAAAUUUUCCGGUGAGAUUUAAGCUAUUUCGGGCACCUCCAUGAUUCCGGCGGGUUACUCUUGACUUUUCCGUCGUCCGAUAAAUGUUUAGUUUCNAUGUUUUAGUUUCUGUUUGUUUUCUGGUCAGUACUGUUGCUUUACGUUUCGACCACGCGUCCAUUUCUUUUAUUAUUAUUAUUAUUAAUUUGUUUUCUGAUCUGUUGUGUUUGCUCGGUAGUCACGUGAUUAUAUUAUUAUUGUUUUCCUCCCGCGAACUGUACACACACAGUCACUAAUCCUUAUUGUAUUGUUUUAUCCGAUUAUUAGUUAAUUAUGUAAUUAAGUAUUUAGUUAACAGUAUUAAUUAGGUAGUAUAUUAUAAUAAUAAAAUCCUUCAAAAAUUAAUCGGUCUAAUUCGCCUAGGUUAAUAAUUAGAGGUCGCGAAAAGUUAAAUUUAAUCUCUGUAGACGAAUCUAAAAUAUUAAAACGGUGAUCGUGCGCUUGCGAUUUAAAGGUAUUAUUUAUAGCACAUCACAGAUGAGGGUGAGCUUGUUGAGGGUUUACUAGAAGGUUGUCACUUAGAUUUUUACAUUGACAUUGUUGUGGACAAGGAAAUAGAGCCGAUGAAGCAGAUGCAACCUCAUGUGAUCAUGACAUCAAAGACAAGUUUUUUUGAAGGUAAUUAUCAAAAGUUUUUGGAAUUAUUUUGGUGUGAGUCAUGGUAUCAUUAUUUGGUUUCCUUUCCCUCAAAUUACAUGUGUGUAAAUAAUACUCUUGUAGGUCUAGAUAAAGUGAGGACACAGUAUGUGACAAUACAAACACUUCAAAAGGAUCAAAAGAAUAAGAAAAAAGGAGCUCACGAGGACUUGAAUUUAGUUGGUGAUGAGAAGGUGCAAUCUGCACCAGAAAUUGAGGGAGAUGACAUCAACAAGAAGAAAACUACUAAAGCUGCUGACUUGGUUGUUAAUGAGGAGAAUGUGGAAUCUGCUGCACACAUUCAGGUUUGCGAAAGAAGCAAGAAAAAACUUACCAAAAAGGCGAGUUUAUUGAUAAAAUACAUCUCUUACAUAUAUUCUUGUAUAUUAUAUAUGAUCAUGCAACAACUAAUCAUGUGUAAUUUAUUUAGGAUAUUCUUGCUGAUUUUGAAGAAAAAAGAAGAAGAGAGUUGCUGAAAACAAUCAAAUGUUGGAACAACUGAGAAUAAAGAAAUUGAAAGCUGAUCUUGAAGGUCAAAAAACAAAGAAGAAAAAUGUAGAAGAAGUUAUUGGGAAUAUAUCAGACCUAGAAUUUGAUAGAGAGUAUGUGUCGGGACAGGACAGCCUCCCCACUAGUGAAGAGGAGCAUCCAGCGAAGGUGUGUAUAACUUAUUCAAGUAUUAAUUUAAGCUUUGCAAUUAAUAUUAUAGAAGUUUAAUAUAUGAUCUUGAAUUAAUUAGCGGGCCAAAAAAGCUCCAUCAGUGAAGGUUGCUACCAGACCACCGACAACUCGUUCUAAAACAGCACAAAAGGUUGCUGAUGACAAUAAACUUGUGCAUUUUUCCUGCAUUUUAAUUUUCUUUUUUUUGCGCAUUUUAAGUUCAUAUUUUCUGUAUUUUAUGUUCUAAAUUUCCCAAUUUAUUUCACGUUUUCUGCAUUUUAGGUUAAAUUCACAAUGUUUUGAGUUUAAAUACUUUAUAAACUUUUUUGCAAGGUUAAUGAUGAAGUGGCAGUACCACCUCCCCCCAGCUACCUAGUACUCUUCAAGAAUUCAAGCAGAUAAAGAGGGAAUACAAUAAUGAUAGAGUUAAGACCAUGGAGGCAUUUGUAAAGAUGAGACAAAGCUUCAAGGAAAUGGAACAAGAAGCAGCUAGCAAUGCAGAGGACAAUGAUGUUGGGGUAAAGAAGGAACCAACAGAUGGCAAGUUCCAACUGAAGGUAUGUUUUUGAUCCUUAACUUGGGGUAGAAAUUUCAAUUAUAUAUAUAUAUAUAUAUAUAUAUAUAUAUGACUAAUUAAUCCUAUAUAAAAAUGGUGUUUAAUUACUUUGAAAUACAUAUAUCCAGGUGAAACUAAAGUUACAACGACGCCUAGAGCUCCUGUUGCUUUAACAAGGCACGCUUCUUAAUUUGCCAUAAACUGAAACUAUUCUUCCUAGUAAAUUUGUCGACCUUCAUGUUAAUACCACCAGACAUCUUUCUGACCGUAACCUCGCACUGAUGCCAGUUUGUUUUAACGGAAGCAAGAAAGAUUAUAAUAAACGUCAAGGAAGAACACAAAUAGGCAGAAGAAAAAAGUUUUAUUGAUCUUGAGGAUACAGAUGCAGCAUACAUUUUUAGGUUAUGACCCAAAAAGUAUGACCUAAAGAGCUUAUAUUAUUACUCUUAGGCCGUUACAGAAAAGCCCAGAAAAAUAGGCCCAAACACUGAUUUAAGGCAUAUUUGACAACGAUAGUGUUGGACAGCAGAAAAUGAGAGGAAGUAAUAUUUGACCGACCAAUAUGUAAUAUGUUUUCAUGCGGCCAACACAACAGAGUACAUUGAAUCCCAAUACACCAAAACUAGGAUACUUCUAACUCUUGACUCCGCCCAUUGCUCAAACUUUUUGUUUGUGAUCUUUUUAUAAUGAACCACUUUUGGGUUUUAUUUUGUUUAUAGUUAAACUACAAUAUAUACAACAUUUAGGACAGGGAAAAUGCUUUCUUCAAGACACUGAAAACAAUGAGAAUAAGCAGUGAUAUCAUGAUCUUCUUUGAAGCAAGCAUCCGCAAGUUCACCUUCAUGCCAUGGUCUCUCAUGAGCUUCACUGUUACCCUAAUUAUUAACAUAAGCCAAGACACAACGGACAGGAACACCACUUUUAUUGUGUCUGCAGGUCCAUUCACACUUCUUGUGCCUCCCCACACCUCGACGUAGGACCAAGACUGACACUUGGACACGUAAUCAUGUUCGACACUUUUAGCCGAAUCCAGGUAAUAUGUUCCUCAUAUACAAAACACAACUUAAUUAGGACUUCAGCAGUCAUUUAUAAAGUUCUACGUACAAUAGACAGCAAUCUGAUGCUCCACCAUAACUAGUAUGCAUGUAAGAAAAACAAAAACAUUCUUGCUAAGACUAAUUACACUACCCUUUGCAUAUUCAUCAAUCAGUACAAACACAAACAAUAUUAAAUCAAGUGAAACAAUCAAAACAUCUGUAGGAUGCGUGGAACCAUGAUAGCGCAUAUAGGUAACACAACAGAUAUCCUAGUACACUAUAACAAACUGGGCUAUUUACGACGAACACUAAGCCUAAUAUCCGUCGUAAGUUCCCAAUUUAUGAUGGAAAAAUCUGUAGUUUUUGCUCAAGUAGUAAGUUCAAAAAGCCGUCACAAUUUUAACUAUUAAACCAAUCCAAGAAAAUAAUCAAUCCACAAUAACAUAGUUUUCAUUAACAAAACAUCUCAAAUACAUAUUCAUACACAAACAAAAGACUAAAACAUCCAAACACAUACUCAUACACAAACAUAUGAUUAAAACAUCCAAAAACAGCCCCACAAAUUCAAUUACAUUCACACAACUUAAUAUUAACCCUUAAUAACCGGACCUCCUCUAGAGACAACAAUCGGGAUGACUCAUGUCAUGGUCUUCGGAGUUCGAAAUCUCAUUACCACUUCUAGCAUUAUCAACGUCAUCUUCAUCCCCAGUGUCGAUAACCUUGCCCUACAAUAUACAUAAAAAAUAAUUCAGUAUAAAUUGAAUAGAAACUCAUUUCUAUAUUCUAGAUAGAAACAUUCACCGUAUGUUUAUUUUGUUUUCUUUAAUGUACGCCCCUGUCUAUAAUUCAGGGUAUGUUUAUUUUUCAUGUAUUUUCUCUAUGAUUACAAAUAGCCGACCUUACUUGUCUAUUUGUACAGGUGGAAUUAUAGUUUAUAGGCAAGUUUGUGUCCACAGCAUUUAUGAGAAAAAGAUUGCCCUGUUGCGGUUUUUAAGAAUUGCUUCUUGCAAAUGCCAAGAAAUAUUUAACCCUCUCAUUAUAUUCAUCCGUAAAUUCAUAGCCACCGGAAAUUAUUCGUCGAGUAAUCCAACUUCUAUCAUAAGACAUCUAUAUAUGCAUGAAUAAUAUCAAUUCAAUUUCAAUAUGCAUAUAGACAAAAAUACAUACAAACACAAAUAAAACACAUGUAAACAUUAAAUUAUUCAUAUUAAUGCACAUAUAAUUAAACUAUAGAAGAAUAAGCAAAGAUUUAUCGUAUACGUAUAUUGAUUCAAGUGUUAAUCUCCGUUGUUAUGUCAUAUCUUCUGUGAAAUCAGAAGGAGAAGUAUGGUGUUUUGAAAGAGAAGUGGAAAAUUAGAAGCAGGCAAUAGUGAUUAAUCAGACCAAAUUACAACGGAAAGAACUCAUUCCGUCGUAAGUUCAUUUAAAUAUAUUAUUCUACAAUGCACAAGUCAAAAGUUUCGGGUGACAUUAAAUACGGUAGCUGAAUUUACGACGGAAUGAACUCAUUCCGUCGUAAAUUCCAGCACUAAAAGACACCGUUUGAAACAAUGGAACAUUCUCGAUUACCUUUUAAUAAAAAAAAUAUUUAUAUACGUGAAUUUACGACAGAAGGAGUUGCCGUCGUAAAUUAAUACGACGAAAAAACACCUAUCCGUCGUAAGUUUAAGCACUCAGCGAAUCUGUCAUAAAUACCCCUGUUUGUUGUAGUGGUACAUGGAAACUAAUAAAUACUAAGUAGCUUGUCUUCUUAAUGUGAUAAUAUUGUUUACUAACCAAUACUGACACACAUUAUCUUUAGAGUAGAUGGUCCUUUUCUAUGAGUUAAAGCACUUUGCAUCUCUUUUGUUUGAACAUUACAAAUAUAUGUUCAUAGUAUUAAUCUUGUUUCCCCCUGACCUAAAUCGUUUCAGUGUAAAAUUAGCAGCUCUGUACUUUCUCAAUGGUAUCUAAAUUUAUUAAAGUAAUAUUUGAUUCGUCAAUUACUAAACAAUACAGAAAUAACAGUAUGAGAAGGGAACUAAUGUGAAAUGUGCAAAUUGCAACCUUACACUUCCACAACUGGAUGUCUGUACUAAUGCAAUAUCUUUAUCAAAUCUUAAAGUUUUCUGAUUAAGAUCCAAUGUGCACGUUGCAACCUUUCUCAUCCACAAAGACGUCUUUACUGAUGCAAUAUUUCUAUUAAAAACUCUAAAAGGGUGUUAUAUCCUUAAAUUUUAUACUCUUGACGAAAAAAAUAAAUAAAUAGUUUUCGGAAGAAACUAUUAAUUCCAUACAAUUACGAUCAUUAUACUUAUUAGUUUUAUUUAAGAUUUUGUUUAUCUUAAAGUCACAUCCAUAUUAAAAACACUCAAUUUCCUAAAAAUAAUAUUAGAUUAUGGAUAACAUAGCAACUACUUUUUAUGAUUAAAACACAUUGUCAUUUUCAUAUUCGUAAUCAAAAAAUCGAUUUUUUAAAAAUAACACAUGCAAUAUACAUAUAAAAAGAUAAUAUUAUUAUAUAUAAUUAUUAAUAUACAACCGAUGAUAUUUUUCAAUAAAAUGCAUUAAUGCUGUUUUUAAUUACUCCAUGUUAUCACUUCAAAAUAAUAUCAUAGAUCUAUACUAUCUAUUUAUACCAUACUAUGCUAUAUUAUUAUUAUUAUUAUUAUUAUUAUUAUUAUUAUUAUUAUUAUUAUUAUUAUUAUUAUUAUUAUUAUUAUUAUUAUUCUUUUAAAAUUGAAAAAGUAAUAAUUUUAUCGGUCGGUAGAGUUUUAUCAGCCGCUCGGUAUUAUUCUACAGGCCUCCUUGAUAUAUAACGUGUUCUAAUAAACUUUUUAUUAUCAAUUAAGUCAAAAAAUAUAAAAAUUCGGUUAGUAUGAUCGAUUUCUGUUUCAAUUAAAUUUAUGAUUUAAAUGAUAAAAUUAUAAAUAUCAUAAAUCAACCGUACAUGGAACGGGUUAUAAACUAGUAUUAAUUAUUAUGAUAGAAUAGUUAUUAUAUUUUAAUAUUGGUCCUGAGAGAUGAAAUUUUUUAUGAAUUUAGAAAAUUAAUCACUUUACAGAAUAUUAAUUUAUAGAAAUUUUACUAUAUUAGGUGUUGAUUUUCUUAAGUUAGAAUAUUAUUUAAUAAACAAGUAGGAUAAUUUAUAAGGAUUGUAUUGGAUUAGGUGCUGAAUUUCUUAUUUUGAUUAUUAUUUAAUAGGUAGGUAGCGUAAGUUGUCGUCGAUGAAAGUGACACAAAUAUUGAUAUGAGUCAUUUUAUAAUUGUUUAGUAAUAUACCGUAGAAUUCUGCCAGCUAAUCGGUUGUUAAACUUUGCUUUUACAUGCCCAUCGUUUAGUAUACAAUGAAUCAAUGAUUGUCAUUUAUUUAGGAAUUAUGUCAUUUAUUUAGGAAUUAAAUAAUGAAUAACUCACACUUGUUCGGUUUAAUCUCAAAUUAGGGUUUUGUGAGUCGACUCCCAAAACUGGCAGUCACUUCUCCAUUCUUCACCUUCAUCCUCUUCAUCCACCAAAUCCUUUUCGCUCUCCCAUGUUAUUCACUAUUUACCACUUUUUUUGUUUUUCAAUAAAAGCGAGUGUUGCUUAAACCUCGAAGAUUCCAAUCGGGUUUUAUUCUCGGAUCUGUUUCGGAUUUGAGCUUGGGCUUGAUUGUUUUCUGAAUAAAUCAGAUAUUUUGAAAUCAAAGGUCCGAUCGUGUUUUCCCAUCUCGCCUUUUGGCGUGUGUUGAUUUAGUACCCAAUUUUUGGGUGAUUCUGCGUUGUUAUACUUGUGGUUGUUAUGUUUUUCUGUGUUAUCAAUGAGAAUGAUUUGGAUGCAGUUUUGGGAGAUCUAACUUAUCGCAUCAUUAAUACUUUCGGCAUGUCUAUAGCUGGCUCCCGGCGGCAUGUAGAUAGCUGGGGUAUGCUUGGAACGGUGGCGAUAGCAUGUGCUCACCUUUCACAAAUUAUAGUUGUUCAUUAUUCGAGGACUCUUGUUACUCAUUGCUUAGUUUUUACAACUGAGUCGCUUGAACACCGUAACAGCGAUGGAACUAUUGUGAAGGCCAAUUGUAUUCAUUCUUAGUUUCAAUGUAUUCAGUGUGUUAAGCAGUCUGGAAACAAUGCGGCUAUUUGUGUAGCUCGUUUUAUUGUUUAUCAACCUGAUUGCAUUGUCUGUUGGAGAUUUGUCCCGACUAGACUUGUUUUAAUUUAUUGAAAUGAAUUUGCAUUUUGUCAAAAAUAAAUAAAUAAUGAAUAACUCCAUAUACAGGAGUAGGUUAAUAGUAGUAUUAGUCUGUUGAUUCCAUGCAGUUCAACUAUCGGGAGUGUUUGUUUACGAGAAGCUGGAGUUGCUUCUAACUGCUUCUUUUGACCCGUUUGUGUAAAAAAGUAGAAGCACUUUUGAGAAUGCUAUCUUCUCUCUCACAGCUUCUGUUUCUUUUCCAAACACUUUAUUAACUUAUUUAAUUCUCACUUCUACUCCAUUUCUUUACUAUAAGCAAGAAAUCACAAUUUUUAAGCUAACUCAAACAGGCCCAUCAUUUUCUCUGGUGUAAACUUGACCGGUCUAGCUCGAGUAUAGUCGACCCAAAUUAUUUAUUGUGCUAGCUAUGCUAACACCGACUCUAUAACUAACAAUCCCUGUGGCGGGACGUGACAUCGAUAAAAGUUAGUAAUUAAAUAUUUAUAUAAAAGAAAUUAAAAUUAAAUUAUAAAAAUAUUUUAUAUGAUCUUUAAAAUAUGUGUGUAAAAAAGACAGUAAAUAAAUCAAAGGAACCGAAGGAGUACUAACUACAACUACGGCUAGGGCCCCGGAUGAGACCAUCAGGGUUGCUCUUACCAUCAGGAAAGAAACAAAUUUAUAUGUUAAACAAAUUUAUAUGGCUGAAGCAAUUGUGUCGAUUGUUGUGGGAAGGCUCACUGAUUUGUUAAUUGAAAAACCUCUAAUCCUUCACGAAGUGAGAGAUGAAAUUGAAGUCGCGGUAGCUGGGCUCGUGCGGAUGAAAACAUUCUUACGAGAUGCUGAUUCAAGGAUGGAUGUAGAAAGAAUCCGGAUUCUGCUCCGGGACGUACGAGAGCUUGCCUAUGAUGCUGAACAUGCUGUCGAAAGUUUUGUUAUUAAAGCCUCAUCCACUAAAAAAUCAUUUCAGUGGAUGAACAGAGGCAAGUUUUGUUAUGAUGCUGAUGAUUCUUACCCACUUAUAUCUAUUUGUGGAAUGGGGGGUCUGGGAAAGACAACUCUAGCUCAAAAGAUAUACAAUCACUCCGCCAUCAAGACUCACUUUGCUGGUUUAGCAUGGGUAUCAAUCUCCCGAAAGUGGCAAACAGAUCGUGUGUUGCAGAGAAUUCUUAUAUGUCUCGUCCCUGAGAACAAAAACUCUAUCCUUAAUAUGGACAGUGACAAGCUAGUGGAGUAUAUGCUACAAAUCCAGGGAAGGAAAAAAUGUUUGAUAGUUCUCGAUGAUAUAUGGUCAACUGAUACUUGGGAUGCAUUAAAAGCUGCAUUUCCAGCCGGGAAGUCCAUGAGCAAAUUAAUGCUUACAAGUCGUAAUGCUGAGGUUGCUGAGCAUGUAAAUUUAGACGGAUUCAUUCACAAGCCAGAAUGUCUAAGUCCCGAACAAAGUUGGGAGCUACUCAAGUUGAAAGCACUUCACACAGGAAAUUGUCUAGGUACGUAAUUUUAGUUGGGUUAAUUAUGUUUCACAUAAUUUUUUCUUUACCAUAUGUUUUGUUUGACAACCUUAACGAACCAUAUAUUUUGUUACUUAAGUUUGAUAAGUUUGGUUAGAAAUCUUUCCAACAACCUUAAAGAACAUUGUUCUAUUCAAUAACGUUUUGUUCGUGUUCGUUUAAAAACCUGUGUAUUAUUAGACUUGUAAACGAAUCCUGUUUGUUGUGUGUUGCAGACAUUACCAGAGAUGUAAAGAGGAUGGAAGAACUGGGAAGGGAAAUGGUUGAACAUUGUGCCGGUCUUCCGCUAGCUAUAGUCGUCUUGGGUGGAAUUCUUGUAACAAAACCAUCGUUGAUAGAGUGGGAGAAGGUAUAUCGUGAUAGUAAAUCAUCCCUGAAGGCGGGGAAAGGACUGGGAGAAGCCUAUCAAAGGGAAAUAUUAAGUUUUUUAGUUUGGAGCUACAAUGAUUUACCCCCUCAGCUCAAGCCAUGCUUUUUAUAUUUAUCAAAGUUUGGUGAAGAUAAAUGGAUAAAAUUGGAGACUUUGUAUCAGCUAUGGAUCGCUGAAGGAAUGAUACUCUCGAGUGACAAGAGGGAAGGAGAAACAAUGAUACAAGUGGCUGAAUCAUACAUGGGAGAACUAGUCCACAGGAAUAUGGUUCAAGUGAGAUUUAACGAUGUAGAAUCAUCGCUUACAAAGUUUGAAUCUUGUUCUCUGCACGAUCUUAUGAGAGACAUGUCUUUAAUACAAGCAAAAGCAGAAGAUUUUUUUGAAGUAAUACAUUUCCAAAGUGGAAAUGAGUUUCAUCUCAAAUCUACUACAGAGUCAAGGUCAGCUUCCACUCGAGUUGUGAUUCGUUUGGAUGAGGAAUAUUCUAGCAAAGAAGCUAAUUACUACUUUACCAAGAAACGCAAUGAAGAAUGCUAUCGAUCAAUUUUACUCCUGGGUAAGUUUGGAGCAAGAAGUUUGCCACAGGCGCUGGGCUCACAUGUUGCCAAUUUUAGGUUCCUAAAAGUCUUUUCUGUGGAGCACUAUACCAAUUUUUCUGGAGCAUUUUCUCAUAUUAAUUUUGGAAGAGCAGUAGGGUCCCUUGUUUACUUGCGAUAUCUCAGUUUAAGGGACACUAAUUUGUUGAUUUUUCCAUCUCUACAAAAGUUGGUGCUAUUACAAACUCUAAAAUUGGAUACCGACAAGAUAUAUGUUUUACCAUGGCUGUCAAGAGAUGUUCUGGUGAAGAUGGAUUGUUUGCGGCAUCUGUAUUUGCCGAAAUUUAAAGUUGACGUUUUGGGAAGGAAAUCGAAAUUACGGUUUAAUGGGUUGAGCAAGUUAGAGACCCUGGAGAACUUUGACACUACUUGGUGUGAGGUUAAGGAUCUACGUGACCUAAUCAAUCUUCGGAAACUAACCCUAACAGUGAGAGGUAGCUUUGAUAUUCUGGAAGAAAUGAUGAAAAACUUGGAUGAUGUAGCCUCCUCACCAUCUUCAUGUCUGAGGUUCUUGGGUGUCACUAUUGUUUAUUGUCAUUUCGAGCUGAACAAUGGUCUUCCUAUCUUAAAACAAUUGGUAUAUGCCGAAAAUUUGAACCUUCGGGAAUUGAAAAUAUAUGGGCGUAUCCCAGAGGUGGGUCUAAUAUUCCGCUGCAUGUAUCCACAAUUUGUAUUACAACUUUAUAUUUAAGGAAAUCAUACCUGGAAGAAGACCCAAUGCCAAUAUUAGAAAUGCUUCCAGUGUUGAGUGUUCUCCAAAUGCGUGAGGAUACAUAUGUGGGGAAGGAGAUGGUGUGCUCCGCAACCGGUUUUCCUAAACUCACCCAUCUUAUUUUGUACAAGUUCACAAACCUUGAAAAAUGGAGGGUGGAGAAAGGAAGCAUGCCCAUCCUUUCACACUUGCGUAUUCAAAGAUGUAACAAGUUGGAGGAGCUUCCCGAAGGCCUUGUGUUCCUCAAGUCCCUUCAAAUAUAUCAAAUGCCUCAAGAUUUCAAUGAUAGGCUUAAAAGGCAAGAUGGUGAAGAAGGACCCGACUUUCACAAAAUUUCUCAUGUCCUUAGACUCAUUAUUGAUGGUCAGGACUACAUUUGAAUGUUCUUGUAAGUUUGCAAGGUAUAAAGUUUUGUUUUGGUCGUGAAGAACAUAUUGCUUGAGAACUUAUUUGAUCAUUUGCUUCUCAUUAACCUAAUUUUAUAUGAUUAAUAUAUUUUCCAUCAAAAUUAAUACUUUUACUGUUGAAAAUAAUUUAAUUAAUACGCAAAAAUUUUAAAAAAUAAAUUACAAAGUAUACUUUAUAGAAUAUUAAAGGGUUUGCCGAUUCACGUCCCCAACAUAUAUUAAUCAGGACGAUGGAGAGCGUAAUAAUUAAAUAAUUUCAAUAACCGGAUUUUGGACUAUAUAUUUUAGUUUUUGAAUGUUCGGUUAUUUUAUGAUGGUUAUUAAUAUGAGUAAAGAUUUGUAUAAAUUUAUAUUUAAAAAUUUAUGCAACAUGAAGUUAAAUAAAUUAUUUCAAUAAAUAAAUAUAGAUCAUCAUCAUAAUCAUCAUCAUUAUUACUUUUUAUAUUUUGGAACAAUUAUAAUAGUAGGAUUCUUAAACAAUUAUUUAAAAGUUAAACAUUUUAUGCUGAACUCUAAUCCUUUGAAAAAAAAAUAAAAAAUCACUACUUUUUUCAACGAAAAAAAUGUAUGCGUUGAAUUACAUUUGGUUGCAAACUUAAUCUUUUUUCUUAAAAAUUUUACAAAAAAAGUACAUCACUUUUUAGACUCUAAACAUAUGUCCAAAAAAAAACUCUAAACAUGUGUUUAGAGCUUUAUUCUAAACAGAUUAUUAGUUCCAUACAAUUACGAUCAUCGGACUAUUUUUCAGACUAUUAAUUCCAUACAGUUACGAUCAUGAGACUACUUAAAAGAACUACUUCUUUAGAAAAAGGCUCAAAGAACUACUCCUUUAGGAAAAGGCUCAGCAUCCUCAGGUUCAUGUUCACACCAUAUUCUCUUGUGAAUUACUAGGGGCACAAUUUUCAUCAUUUUCUUUGUCUUACAAGCCAUGCAAUCUAGUCAUUUAAAAUUGAUCACUUUAAAGACCAUCCUUGUGUCUCGUUCAUUUUCCUUGUGGUGAACAAGAGUUAAACAUAUUCGGAAGCGAUAAAUAUAAGUGUCUUAUUACAGAAUAUCGAUUUAUGAUAAUGUUAGGCUGCAGUAAAUGAGAGGAAAUAAUAUUUCACUGACCAAUAUGUAAUAUGUUUUCAUGCGAUUGCGGCCAACACAACAGAGCACAUUGUUUCCCACAUGUUGCCACAAAACACCAAAACUAGGAGACUUCUAACUCUUGACUCCACCCAUUGUUCAAACUUUUUCUUUGUGAUCUUCUCUUUUUUAUAAUAAAACACUUUUGGUUUUUCUUUUCUUUAUGGUUAAACUACAAUAUAUACAGCGUUUAGGAUGGGGAAACUGCUUUCUUCAAGAUGCUGAAGGCAACGAGCAUAAGCAGUGAUAUCAUGAUCUUCUUUGAAGCAAGUAUCCGCAAGUUCACCUUCAUGCCAUGGUCUCUCAUGAGCUUUAGUGUUGCCCUAAUCACUGACAUAAGCCAAGAUACAAUGGACAAGAACACCACUUUCAUUGUGUCUGCAGGUCCACUCACACUUCUUGUGCCUCCCGACACCUCAACGUAGGACCAAGCAGCGCCUUGAUUAUCGGUGGUUCCACUAUGAUUGAGGCCAAGUUUCUUGUUCAACCAACAUGAUAAAGUCACAAGCAGCUUUGCAAGCCAUGCAAUCUCAUCACUGGAGACUGGUCGCUUCAACCAGUCACCCCUGUAUUUCGUACCGGUUUGCUUCUUGUUGCGUAUCAUUCUAGGACUAAAUAUCUCAUCACGUGGAUGCUGAUUUUCUCUUGUCUCGGGGACUGCUUGUGUGUUCCUUGGAGUAGAGUUACCAAAUAAGCACCCCAUCUGGGCUUUGAUAGAAUCUAAACAAGCCAUAUUCUGAGCAUGAUUAUCUCCCAAGACAGUCUGCAGCUCCGACUCAGCACGCAACACAAAGAGCUGCAAUAACAAUGUGACUAGUGAGUGAGACUUGACAUUUAAAAUGACACCAUCCAUUUCAGUUCCUAGAAUUUAUAUGGUUCAUACAGAUAUAUUUAAGUACACUAUAUGCUAAAAGAAGAGAGGGGGAAAUAAACCUGUAGCAGCUGUUGUCUGCCAUCAUCACCAUCACUAAAUAACUGCAAAUCCUUGUUCCAAUUCUCGUGCAAGAAAGAGCCAUCAGCAUCAUUUUCACACAAUCCAUCCUCCCAGUCCUUGUAACGCAAAAAAGAACAAGGGAUUUACAUAUAAACAUCUGAAAAAGAGUUGAAGAAUGCGCUCGCGCACACAAAAGAGAUGCAGUUAGGUCUUCAUACCUGCAGUUGUUCUCUGAUUGAUGGAACAAAUCUGUACAAGUUGUUGUGUAUGGGUUUGGAUGACCCAGAAGGCUUAGAAUGGAAGACAGUGUCCACAUUGUUUAUAAGAUUCAUCAGCUCACUGGACGAUGUCAAUAUGCUUAAGACCUGCACAAGAAAUACAAGAAACAUAUACAAAAUAAGUAAACGGAAACUAUAACGAAUUGAUCCUGGGAUAAAAAUAUUUACUAAUUAUAAAAGAAAAUUUCCCCACUGUUACCCUGACUCUUCAUUUUGCCUCAAGUACCGGUGUCGGACACUCAACACUUGAACAUAGGUACAGACACUACAGAACUUAUUUUAGGCCAAAAACAUGUAAAUUUUUCAGAAUACUACCGAGACACACUCGGACAGGUAACCAUGUUGGACACUUUUAGCUGACUCCUGGUAAUAUAGAUUCUUCAUAUAUAAGCUUACCAGAAGUAUCCCAUCAGCGCCCAUAAAUGAAAAGAAGCCGAAAGAAACUAUAAAAGAGGAAUAUAGCAGAUUAUUAUUAAUUAGUAGCCUUGCAUCAGUUUCCUCUAUAAUUCAACACAAGUAGCUUUCUGUUGUCGUUCAUUCAGAUGUAUCCAUCGAGCAUUUGCCAGGACCGCUGAAGCAAUUUAGGCUUUUAUCUAUAGUCUAUGCAUGCAAAACUAUGGUUGAGCGUCACUAACUACAGACCAAUUUAAUUUAUUUUUUAUUUAUCCUCUUAUGUUCUGCUUAUCCACGUUAAAAAAAUAAAAAAUUGACUUGGUCAAAAAUAUACACAACACAACUAUAUAUGGAGAAACUUGUGAGCAAAUCCUAAAAAAUGCAUAACCAAGGAACUAUAGAACAAAUAGUUGAUCAACACAAAGCAUUGCCAGGAACUAGAAUAUCCACUUGAAGAAGACUGUACUUCCUUUUUAGUACCAUUGCUCGACACCUCAGCAUUUACAUCUAGACCAGAAAAAUCUUCAAAGCUAAUGUUCCAAGGUUCUAUAUAAUUAAUCCCAAGCCAAAACACCUGAGAUCUGGGAAGUACUGGACGCAAAUACGGGGAGUCCGGAAAAUGAGUAUUUGGCAUGGGAAUACCAAAAAUAUAAAAAAUAUUUAAAUUAUACUCCAUUUCACACUCUCAUUUCUUAGCACUCACACACAUUUUAAAAGUGCGUAUCCUUUAUUCUAUACAUGAAUCCACCACAGUAUGCAGUUAACCAAUAAAAAAAUAAAUGGAUCUGAAUAUGGAUUUGACUAAAUCCGAUACAAAAAAAAAAUGAUUUAAAAAGGUCAGAGUCAAAGCAGUGGACUGUAUUAGACAUAUGUGCAUCACAUAUAUACAGAUCUGGACCAGAGAAGAGAUAGCAAAACAAGCAGCAGAGUGAACUCAGACAAGAGAUAACAGUCUGAAAGCGAAGUCACCGUCUCCGCUAGUAGAGUUGGGUAUGUAUCUUUGUAAUAUAAGUUUUGUUUUUUGUUUUAAUGAAUUAUUGCAGAAGCAUGAUGACUUAUUGUUGAACUUUGCAACCAAAGAACCAUGAAAAUGAUUCAAGACUGUCUCAGAGUCAUAUAGAAUAGUUUAAUUAAUAUACAGCAAAGGGGAAUAGUGAUCAGCAAUAGAGAAUCUAAUGUGCUCAUGACACCAAUACAUUUUUACUACUUUAUUACUCUCUCGAUCCUAUUUUUAACUACUUGUUUGGUUCCUGGGAGAAGAAUAGGUUAAAUAAAUUUAUAUGGCUGAAGCAAUUGUGUCGAUUGUUGUGGGAAGGCUCGCUGAUUUGUUGGUUGAAAAACCCCAAACCCUCUAUGAAGUGAGAGAUGAAAUUCAACUAGCGGUCACCGAGCUCACGCGGAUAAAGACAUUCUUACCGGACGCUGAUUCAAGGAUGGAUGUAGAAAGAAUCCGGAUUUUGCUCCGGGAUGUAAGAGAGCUUGCCUAUGAUGCUGAACAUGUUGUCGAAACUUUUGUUAUUAAAGCCUCAUCCACUAAAAAACCAUUUCAGCGGAUGAACAGAGUCAAGUUUUCUAGAAAGAUGAAAAAUAUACAGAAAAAGAUGUCCCUCCUCUUCAAUUUAUUUUCUGAUUAUAAUAUCAUACCAACUUCUGAAUCAACUUCCUCAAAAAGAGAAUCGGGAAAACUUAAGCGAUUUCACUCUUUCACUACUCCUGAACCACAGAUAUUUGUUGGAUUUCAUGAAGAUGUUGAGUGUUUGGUGCGACAUUUGGUGAAUGAAGCUGAUGAUUCAUACCCACUUAUAUCUAUUUGUGGAAUGGGGGGUCUGGGAAAGACCACUCUAGCUCAAAAGAUAUACAAUCACUCUGCCAUCAAGACUCACUUUGCUGGUUUAGCAUGGGUAUCAAUUUCGCAAAAGUGGCAAACAGAUCGCGUGUUGCAGAGAAUUCUCAUAUGUCUCGUCCCUGAGAACAAAGAGUCUAUCCUUAAUAUGGACAGUGACAAGCUAGUCGAGUAUAUGUUAAAAAGCCAGGGAAAGAAAAAAUGUUUGAUAGUUCUCGAUGAUAUAUGGUCAACUGAUAUUUGGAGUGCAUUAAAAGUNNNNNNNNNNNNNNNNNNNNNNNNNNNNNNNNNNNNNNNNNNNNNNNNNNNNNNNNNNNNNNNNNNNNNNNNNNNNNNNNNNNNNNNNNNNNNNNNNNNNNNNNNNNNNNNNNNNNNNNNNNNNNNNNNNNNNNNNNGAUGGAAAAACUGGGAAGGGAAAUGGUUGAACAUUGUGCCGGUCUUCCGCUAGCUAUAGUCGUCUUGGGUGGAAUUCUUGUAACAAAACCAUCGUUGAUAGAGUGGGUGAAGGUAUAUCGUGAUAGUAAAUCAUCCCUGAAGGCGGGGAAAGGACUGGGAGAAGCCUAUCAAAGGGAAAUAUAAGUUUUUUAAUAUGGAGCUACAAUGAUUUACCGCCUCAGCUGAAGCCAUGCUUUCUAUAUUUAUCUAAGUUUAGUGAAGAUGAAUCGAUAGACAUAGAGACUUUGUAUCAGCUAUGGAUCGCAGAAGGAAUGAUACUCUCGAGUGACAAAAGGGAAGGAGAAACAAUGAUACAAGUGGCUGAAUCAUACAUGGGAGAACUAGUCCACAGGAAUAUGGUUCAAGUGAGAUUUAACGAUGUAGAAUCAUCGCUUACAAAGUUUGAAUAUUGUUCUCUGCACGAUCUUAUGAGAGACAUGUCUUUAAUACAAGCAAAAGCAGAAGAUUUUUUUGAAGAAAUACAUUUCCAAAGUGGAAAUGAGUUUCAUCUCAAAUCUACUACAGAGUCAAGGUCAGCUUCCACUCGAGUUGUGAUUCGUUUGGAUGAGGAAUAUUCUAGCAAAGAAGCUAAUUACUACUUUUCCAAGAAACGCAAUCAAAAAUGCUAUCGAUCAAUUUUACUCCUCUGUGAGUUUGGGGCGAGAAGUCUGCCACGGGCACUGGGGUUACAUUUUGCCAAUUUUAGGUUCCUAAAAGUCUUUUCUGUGGAGAAUUAUACCAAUUUUUCUGGUGCAUUUUCUCAUUUUAAUGUUGGAAGAGCAUUAGGGUCCCUUGUUUACUUGAGAUAUCUUAGUGUAAGGGGCAGUAAUUUGUUGGUUUUUCCAUCUCUACAAAAGUUGAUGCUAUUACAAACUCUCAAAUUUGAUACGAAGAAGAAGAUAUAUGUUUUACCAUGGAUGCCAAGAGAUGUUCUGGUCAAGCUGGAUUGUUUGCGGCAUCUGUAUUUGCCUAAAGUUCAAGUUAACCUUAUGGGAAGGGAAUCGAAAUUUCGAUUUAAUGGGUUGAGCAAGUUAGAGACACUGGAGAACUUUAACGCUAGUUGGUGUGAGGUUAAGGAUCUACGUGAACUAAUCAAUCUUCGGAAACUAACGCUAGCAGUGAUAGCUAGCUAUGAUAUUCUGGAGGAAAUGAUGAAAAACUUGGCUGAUAUAGCCUCAUCACCAUCUUCAUGUCUGAGGUACUUGGGUGUUACUAUUAGUCAUUGUCAUCUCGAGCUGAACAAUGGUCUUACGAUCUUAAAACAAUUGGUAUAUGCUGAAAAUUUGAACCUUCGGGAUUUGAAAAUAUAUGGCCCUAUCCCAGAGGUGGGUCUAAUAUUUCCGCUGCAUGUAUCUACAAUUCGUAUUACAAAAUUAACUUUAGCGAGAUCACACCUAGAAGAAGACCCAAUGCCAAUACUGGAAAUGCUUCCAAUGUUGGAUGUUCUCCAUAUGUGUACGGAUACCUAUGUGGGGAAGGAGAUGGUGUGCUCGGCAACCGGUUUUCCUAAACUCACCUAUCUUUUUUUGGACAGCUUCCCGAACCUUGAAAAAUGGAGGGUGGAGGAAGGAAGCAUGCCCAUCCUUUUAUACUUGUCUAUUGAAAGAUGUAACAAGUUGGAGGAGCUUCCACGAGGCCUGGUGUUCCUCAACUCCCUUCGAGUACUAAAAAUAUUUCAAAUGCCUCAAGAUUUCAAUGAUAGACUUAUAAGAGAAGAUGAAGAAGGACCCGACUUUCACAAAAUUUCUCACGUUCGUAGAGUCCGCAUCGACGAUCUGGUAUACGAUUUCUUAUAAGGGAUGUUCUUGUAGGUCGUAACGUUUUCUGUUAUAAUCCCAAAGAACAAAUUGCUUGAGUAGCAACUUAUCAAACAAUCUUAUAUAUACCUUUAUCUUCAAAAAAAAAAUCUUAAAUAUACCUUCAAAAUUUUAUAAUAUUUUAUUAAAAUUUUCAUUUUCAAUCAUAGUUUUGUAUGAUUAAUGUAGUUUUUAAUAUAAAAGAGUUAAAAAAUACUUUUACAUAUAACUGAAUCCAAUUUUCAAUAAUAGCGACUGUAAAAAAUAUACUAGCUUAUAACCCGUGCAAUGCACGGGCGGUUAUAAUAUGUGUUAUUAUAUUAUAUAUAUUUUAAAUUUAACUAAUUUUAUUUUGAAAAUUAAAUCAUGAUAUAAUAAUAUGAUUAAAUAAAUUUUUUAUUUAACAACUGAAUAAAUUGUUAGCAGUUAAGUCUUUCAAAUAGCUAAUUAAAAAUUAAGUCGAACAUAUAUAUUUUAAUGAAGAUGUUAAAAUAUAUAUUUUUAUAUGUUAUAAUUUAAUAAGACCUAUAAACCCAGAUAUAUAUCGACCAAUCAAUAUUUCGUUAUUAAUGAUUAAUAAUAUCGUAUAGAAUAUAUUAAUAAGUUAAAGAGACGCGUAAAUCCAAAUAUCGACCUAUCAUACUGACUAAUUUAUAAUAUGUUAUAAAUUAAAGAGGUUCGGGGUUGAAUACCAACCGGAUCGCCAAACUCGACCGACAAAUUGAACUUUUCUUAUUUCGACUAAUGUUUUACUUUUAAUAAUAUAGUAUAGAUAUAUAAUAAUAUUGUCUUUUUUAUAUGUAUGUUCCAUGUGUUAUAUAUGUUUAGAAAAAUCCGAUUUUAGUUAGGAAUGUGAAAAAGAUAAUGUCUUUUAGUUAAAAAGGGUAAUUGCUAUCUUGUCCAAUAUUAUUUUUAGAAAAUUGAGUUUUUUAAGUUAGAAAAUAUAAAAAAGAUAAUAGUAUUAGUUAAAAAAGAUGUUUGAUUAGAUAAAUAGGCUCAUAACUCAGCCCAAGUACCGACCGACCAAACUUUGAAUGUUUCGACUUCAAUAGUAUAGUAAUUUUGAAGUAUUAAUAUAAUUUUUAUAAGCCGCUGCAACGCGCGGCUUCUCAGCUAGUUAUUAUAAAUACAGGAUUCCUUAAACAACUUACAAUGGAAGAUGUAAUAGUUUUAUGAAAAUUAUUAUUAAUAUUAAAAUUAAAACACUAACUUUUAUUAUUUAAAAGUUAAACAACUGCAGGACUCUAAACCUUUAAAAUGUGAAUUAAAAAAAAGUUCACUUUUUUCAACAAAGAAGUUCUGUUGGUGUUGAAUCGAAUUUGAUUGCAAGUUGCCGGAAUUAAUUAAUAAUUACAAUCAUAUUUUCAUAAGACUUUUAAAAAGAUAGUAACUCCAAAAAAUUCUACAAAGAUGGUGUAUCCUUAAUUUUAUACUCUUGGGGCAAAACAAAGUUUUAUAUUCACAACAAGCUAUCAGUUCUAUACAAUUACAAUCAUCAUAUCUAUACUAUAUUAUUGAAACCGAAACAUUAAAAGUUUGGUCGGUCGGUAUUUGAGCCAAAAUACGAGUUUAUCAGUUAUUUUUUAACUAAAAUAUAUCUUCUUUUUAAUAUUUUCUAAAUAAAAAAACUCAAACUUUCAAAAUAACAUCGAGCAACAUAGUAAUUACCUUUUUAACUAAAACAAUUAUCAUUUUUAGAUUUUCUAACUAAAAAGCCGAGCUUCUAUUAUUAACACGGGCUACAUUAACAUUAUUUUAAAAUACUUUAACGGUCUCACUUUAAAAGUAAUAUUAUAAAUCUAUAUUAUACCAUUAAAGCCGAAACAUGAAAAGUUCGGUCGGUCAAUUGUUCGGCCGGUCACUCGAGUUUAGUGAGCCUGUUAGUAUUCGACCCAUAAACAUCUUUAAUUAAUAAAAUAUUAUAAUAUUAAAAACACUCAAUUUCCUAAAAAUAAUAUUAGAUUAUGAAUAACAUAGCAACUACUUUUUAUGAUUAAAACACAUUAUCAUUUUCAUAUUCGUAAUCAAAAAAUCGUUUUUUUAAAAAUAACACAUGCAAUAUACAUAUAAAAAGAUAAUAUUAUUAUAUAUAAUUAUUAAUAUACAACCGAUGAUAUUUUUCAAUAAAAUGCAUUAAUGCUGUUUUUAAUUACUCCAUGUUAUCAUUUCAAAAUAAUAUCAUAGAUCUAUACUAUCUAUUUAUACCCUACUAUGCUAUAUUAUUAUUAUUAUUAUUAUUAUUAUUAUUAUUAUUAUUAUUAUUAUUAUUAUUAUUAUUAUUAUUAUUAUUAUUAUUCUUUUAAAAUUGAAAAAUUAAUAAUUUUAUCGGUCGGUAGAGUUUUAUCAGCCGCUCGUAUUAUUCUACGGGCCUCCUUGAUAUAUAACGUGUUCUAAUAAACUUUUUAUUAUCAAUUAAGUCAAAAAAUAUAAAAAUUCGGUUAGUAUGAUCGAUUUCUGUUUCAAUUAAAUUUAUGAUUUAAACGAUAAAAUUAUAAAUAUUAUAAAUCAACCGUGCAUGGAACGGGUUAUAAACUAGUAUUAAUUAUUAUGAUAGAAUAGUUAUUAUAUUUUAAUAUUGGUCCUGAGAGAUGAAAUUUUUUAUGAAUUUAGAAAAUUAAUCACUUUACAGAAUAUUAAUUUAUAGAAAUUUUACUAUAUUAGGUGUUGAUUUUCUUAUGUUAGAAUAUUAUUUAAUAAACAAGUAGGAUAAUUUAUAAGGAUUGUAUUGGAUUAGGUGCUGAAUUUCUUAUUUUAAUUAUUAUUUAAUAGGUAGGUAGCGUUAUUUGUCGUGGAUGAAAGUGACACAAAUAUUGAUAUGAGUCAUUUUAUAAUUGUUUAGUAAUAUACCGUAGAAUUCCGCCAGCUAAUCGGUUGUUAAACUUUGCUUUUACAUGCCCAUCGUUUAGUAUACAAUGAAUCAAUGAUUGUCAUUUAUUUAGGAAUUAAAUAAUGAAUAACUCACACUUGUUCGGUUUAAUCUCAAAUUAGGGUUUUUCUCAAAAAAAAAAAAAAAAAUCUCAAAUUAGGGUUUUGAGAGUCGACUCCCAAAACUGGUAGUCACUUCUCCAUUCUUCACCUUCAUCCUCUUCAUCCACCAAAUCCUUUUCGCUCUCCCAUCUUAUUCACUAUUUAUCAGGUUUUUUGUUUUUCAAUAAAAGCGAGUGUUGCUUAUACCUCGAAGAUUCCAAUCGAGUUUUAUUCUCGGAUCUGUUUCGGAUUUGAGCUUGGGCUUGAUUGUUUUCUGAAUAAAUCAGAUCUUUUGAAAUCAAAGGUCCGAUCAUGUUUUCCCAUCUCGCCUUUUGGCGUGUGUUGAUUUAGUACCCAAUUUUUGGGUGAUUCUGCGUUGUUACACUUGUGGUUGUUAUGUUUUUCUGUGUUAUCAGUGAGAAUGAUUUGGAUGGAGUUUUGGGAGAUCUAACUUAUCGCAUCAUUAAUACUUUCGGCAUGUCUAUAGCUGGCUCCCGGCAUGUAGAUAGCUGGGGUAUGCUUGGAACGGUGGCGAUCGCAUGUGCUCACCUUUCACAAAUUAUAGUUGUUCAUUAUUCGAGGACUCUUGUUACUCAUUGCUUAGUUUUUACAACUGAGUCGCCUGAACACCGUAACAGCCAUGGAACUAUUGUGAAGGUCAAUUGUGAAGCUACCAUUUUCGCGAUUGAUGUAGGCUGGAUUACUCGAGCCUUUGUAUUCAUUUUUAGUUUCAAUGUAUCCAGUGUGUUAAGCAGUCUGGAAACAAUGCGGCUAUUUGUUUAGCUCGUUUUAUUGUUUAUCAACCUGAUUGCAUUGUCUGUUGGAGAUUUGUCCCGACUAGACUUGUUUUAAUUUAUUGAAAUGAAUUUGCAUUUUGUCAAAAAUAAAUAAAUAAUGAAUAACUCCAUAUACAGGAGUAGGUUAAUAGUAGUAUUAUUCUGUUGAUUCCAUGCAGUUCAACUAUCAGGAAUGUUUGUUUACGAGAAGCUGGGGUUUGCUUCUAACUGCUUCUUUUGACCCGUUUGUGUAAAAAAGUAGAAGCACUUUUGAGAAUGCUAUCUUCUCUCUCACAGCUUCUGUUUAUUUUCCAAACACUUUAUUAACUUAUUUAAUUCUCACUUCUACUCCAUUUCUUUACUAUAAGCAAGAAAUUACAAUUUUUAAGCUAACUCAAACAGGCCCAUCAUUUUCUCUGGUGUAAACUUGACCGGUCUAGCUCGAGUAUAGUCGACCCAAAUUAUUUAUUGUGCUAGCUAUGCUAACACCGACUCUAUAACUAACAAUCCCUGUGGCGGGACGUGACAUCGAUAAAAGUUAGUAAUUAAAUAUUUAUAUAAAAGAAAUUAAAAUUAUAUUAUAAAAAUAUUUUAUAUGAUCUUUAAAAUAUGUGUGUAAAAAAGACAGUAAAUAAAUCAAAGGAACGGAAGGAGUACUAACUACAACUACGGCUAGGGCCCCGGAUGAGACCAUCAGGGUUGCUCUUACCUAAUUAAUAUGCUUCGGCCAAGUGGAAUAGCAGUGAACAAUUAUAGAGAAUAUUCUGAGUGUGCAGAAGAAAGAAACAAGUAUAUGCUGCUUGACUUCUUAUAUUACUGAUUAUUUAAUACGCAAGUAGAGUUAAUAGUUGUUGAUAGAGAUGAUGCAAAAAUUGAUGUUUUGCUUAUGCUGAGUCAUUUCAUCAUUGUUUAUUAGUUAGUUGUAGAAUUAUGAGCUGAUCGGUUGUUAAGCUUUGUUUCUACAUGCUCUUAAUUUGCGAGCUUCAUGCAGUUCAAUUCCUUUAUAUAGGGUUGUUUGGUUUCUGGCAAAGAAUAACAAAUUAAUAUGGCUGAAGCAAUUGUGUCGAUUGUUGUGGGAAGGCUCACUGACUUGUUAAUUGAAAAAGCUCUAAUCCUUCAGGAAGUGAGAGAUGAAAUUGAAGUCGCGGUAGCUGGGCUCGUGCGGAUAAAAACAUUCUUACCAGAUGCUGAUUCAAGGAUGGAUGUAGAAAGAAUCCACAUUUUGCUCCGGGAUGUACGAGAUCUUGCCUAUGAAGCCGAACAUGCUGUUGAAAGUUUUGUUAUUAAAGCCUCAUCCACUAAAAAACCAUUUCAAUGGAUGAACAGAGGCAAGUUUUCAAGGAAGAUGAAAGAUAUACAAAAAAAGAUGUCUAUCUUCUUCGAUUUAUUUUCUGAUUAUAAUAUCAGACCAACUUCUGAAUCAUCAACUUCCUCCAACAGAGAAUCGGGAAAACUAAAGCGAUUUCACUCUUUCACUACUCCUGAACCACAGAUAUUUGUUGGAUUUCAUGAAGAUGUUGAGUGUUUGGUGCGACAUUUGGUGAAUGAAGCUGAUGAUUCAUACCCACUUAUAUCUAUUUGUGGAAUGGGGGGUCUGGGAAAGACCACUCUAGCUCAAAAGAUAUACAAUCACUCUGCCAUCAAGACUCACUUUGCAGCUGGUUUAGCAUGGGUAACAAUCUCGCGGAAGUGGCAAACAGAUCGUGUGUUGCAGAGAAUUCUCAUAUGUCUCGUCCCUGGGAACAAAGAUUCUAUCCUUAAUAUGGACACUGACAAGCUAGUGGAGUAUAUGCUACAAAUCCAGGGAAGGAAAAAAUGUUUGAUAGUUCUCGAUGAUAUAUGGUCAACUGAUGCUUGGGAUGCAUUAAAAGCUGCAUUUCCAGCCGGGAAGUCCAUGAGCAAAUUAAUGCUUACAAGUCGUAAUGCUGAGGUUGCUGAGCAUGUAAAUUUAGACGGAUUCAUUCACAAGCCAGAAUGUCUAAGUCCCGAACAAAGUUGGGAGCUACUCAGGUUGAAAGCACUUCACACAGGAAAUUGUCUAGGUACAUAAUUUUACUUGCGGUAAUCAUGGUUCAUAUACUUUUUUUAUACCAUAUAUUUUGUCCGACAACCUUAACGAACCAUAUUUUUGGUUAUCGGAGUUUGAUAAGUUUGGUUAGAGAUCUUUCCGACAUCCUUAAAGAACAUUGUUCUGUUCAAUAACGUUUUGUUCGUGUUCGUUUGAAUUCGUUAGUUCGUUUACAAACCUGUGUAUUAGAAUUGUAAACGGAUCUAACAGUUCAUUAAGUGCUCUCUUGAGGUUGAGUUAAAAAACUCGAGCUCGAAACACAUAUUUUGUUUAACAACCUUAACAAACUCUAGAAGGUUUAGUAAUUUUUCUCGUGUUGACUCGAAGUUUAUUGGAGUUAAGGUCAUAGAGGGCUCUAACUUGAACCUGUCUUUUAAACAUUUGCAUUACUUAAACGACUAAAUUAGAAAUUAUCUUGGCUUAUGAGUGUAUUCCUAUAUAUACACACACAUUUGAUUCCUGUUUCUUGUUUGUUGCAGACAUUACCAGAGAUGUAAAAAGGAUGGAAGAACUGGGAAGGGAAAUGGUUGAACAUUGUGCUGGUCUUCCGCUAGCUAUAGUCGUUUUGGGUGGAAUUCUUGUAACAAAACCGUCGUUGAGAGAGUGGGAGAAGGUAUAUCGUGAUAGUAAAUCAUCCCUGAAGGCAGGUAAAGGACUGGAUAAAGACUAUCAAAGGGAAAUAUUAAGUUUUUUAAUAUGGAGCUACAAUGAUUUACCGCCUCAGCUGAAGCCAUGCUUUCUAUAUUUAUCUAAGUUUAGUGAAGAUGAAUCGAUAGACAUAGAGACUUUGUAUCAGCUAUGGAUCGCAGAAGGAAUGAUACUCUCGAGUGACAAAAGAGAAGGAGAAACAAUGAUACAAGUGGCCGAAUCAUACAUGGGAGAACUGGUCCAAAGGAGUAUGGUUCAAGUGAGAUUUAACAAUGUGGAAUCAUCACUUACAAAGUUUGAAGAUUGUUCUCUGCACGACCUUAUGAGAGACAUGUCUUUAUUACAAGCCAAAGCAGAAGAUUUUUUUGAAGAAAUACAUUUCCAAAGUGGAAAUGAGUUUCAUCUCAAAUCUACUACAGAGUCAAGGUCAGCUUCCACUCGAGUUGUAAUUCAUUUGGGUGAGGAAUAUUCUAGCAAAAAAGCUAAUUACUACUUUUCCAAGAAACGCAAUGAAAAAUGCUAUCGAUCAAUUUUACUCCUCGGUGAGUUUGGAACAAGAAGUUUGCCAUGGGCGUUGGGUUCACAUGUUGCCAAUUUUAGGUUCCUAAAAGUCUUUUCUGUGGAGAACUAUACCAAUUUUUCUGGUGCAUUUUCUCAUAUUAAUUUUGGAAGAGCAGUAGGGUCCCUUGUUUACUUGCGAUAUCUCAGUUUAAGGGACACUAAUUUGUUGAUUUUUCCAUCUCUACAAAAGUUGGUGCUAUUACAAACUCUAAAAUUGGAUAUAUCCGACAAGAUAUAUGUUUUACCAUGGCUGUCAAGAGAUGUUCUGGUGAAGAUGGAUUGUUUGCGGCAUCUGUAUUUGCCGAAAUUUAAAGUUGACGUUUUGGGAAGGAAAUCGAAAUUACGGUUUAAUAGGUUGAGCAAGUUAGAGACCCUGGAGAACUUUGACACUAGUUGGUGUGAGGUUAAGGAUCUACGUGAACUAAUCAAUCUUCGGAAACUAACGGUAACAGUGAGGGGUAGCUAUGAUAUUCUGGAAGAAAUGAUGAAAAACUUGGAUGAUUUAGCCUCCUCAGCAUCUUCAUGUCUGAGGUGUCGCUAUUGUUUAUUGUGAUAUUGAGCUGAACAAUGAUCUUACGAUCUUAGAACAAUUGGUAUAUGCCGAAAAUUUGAACCUUCGGGAAUUGAAAAUAUAUGGGCGUAUCCCAGAGGUGGGUCUAAUAUUUCCGCUGCAUGUAUCCACAAUUUGUAUUACAACUUUAAAUUUAGGGGAAUCAUACCUGGAAGAAGACCCAAUGCCAAUAUUAGAAAUGCUUCCAGUGUUGCGUGUUCUCUAUAUGUUUGCUGAUACCUAUGUGGGGAAGGAGAUGGUGUGCUCCGCAACCGGUUUUCCUAAACUCACCCAUCUUAUUUUGCACGAGUUCACAAACCUUGAAAAAUGGAGGGUGGAGGAAGGAAGCAUGCCCAUCCUUUCCUACUUGAUUAUUGAAAGAUGUAACAAGUUGGAGGAGCUUCCCGAAGGCCUUGUGUUCCUCAAGUCCCUUAAAAUAACUCAAAUGCCUCAAGAUUUCAAUGAUAG